AGCUCUGAUACCAAUUGUAAGACCCUAAUUUGCUUGUGUAUCAAUCAGAUCCAAUUGAUGGUGCGGAAUCCUAAUCAAUUGGAUGAUGUCAGAUGAAAAUAAGAAGAGAAUGAGAAGAAGAAUAACUUGAAUCUAUGAUGUAUUGAAGAUAUGAAUGAUGCUCCUUACAAUAGAUUCUCUCACACACACUAUUCUUCUCUCUAACUUUCUCUCUCUACAAUAUGCUCUCUCCUCUCUCUCUCUCUCUCUCUCUCUCUCUCUCUCUCUCUCUCUUCUAGCCUUACACUCACAUGACUCCUCACCCUAUAUAUAUGAGACACCAGCCUUACACGUGUGUACAUCCGCACACCCUGUGUACGGCCAUACACAGGUUGUGCAGUCGUACACAGCCACAAAAUUACAUAUUACAUUAUAGAAAAAUAUAUUUUCCUAGAAAAGAAAAGUAUAAACCAUAUUUUUGACCCAACACAAAUCGAUUGGAAAGGAGUGAUUAUUUAAUGCUAAUGUGCACGCUACGUAGAUAUCGUUGGUUGAUUCUGUUUUACCAUUGGCCAUUUCGACUGUGAAAGUUUCGUUCAAUUUGUGGGGAGUUUUAUUGAGUAGGUGUUUGAAUUUGUGACUUACGAAGCUCCGCUCAGCACCACUAUCAAAUAAAAUGCACGCAUAAGAGUUGUUGAGGAGGAAUGUACCAGUAACCACGGUUGGAUCUUAUAUUGCCUCUCCCUGACCCAUAGCUAGGACUCUUCCCACAUUCUGGUUGUUGUUCUUGGGGCAGUUGCGUUUGAAGUGGUCGGCUUCUCUACAUCCGUAACAUGCAUGGCUAGCUCCGACGUUGUUUUAAGUGGGUUGCUUGUUUUUCUAUGGGGGCAUCCUACAAUAUUGGAGAACGUGUCCUUUUCGAUUGCAAUUGGUGCAGUGGAAGUCCUUACAUGCCCCAAAAUGGUGGUAGUUACACUUGUCACAUUUGGCAUUGGAACUCGCGUAUGAUUUGGCUGGAGUUGUUGUGGUUGAGGUUGGGGCUGGUGGAGCUGGUGCGGCUAAGCGGUAACAGAAUGGACCGCUACUGUCUGUGACUUCUGGGACGGCCCUGAUUUCUGUCCCUUUUUUCGUUUGUUCUCCCAGUUUUUCUUGCUUCCUCCCUCUUGCUUGCUUUCUCCUUCGUUCACUUUGGUGCUCUUCUUGUCACUAUGAUCAUAAAGCUUCUUGGCCAGGCACUUUGCACUGUCAUAGGUCUCGGCUUUUGAGGCAAUCGCGUUACCUUGAAUGAGAGGCAUCAACCCCCAGAUGAAUCGUUCGACCUUCUUUCCUUCGGACGUAAUCAUACCAGGACACAAGAGAGCUAAUUUGCUAAAUCUUGAGAUGUACGCGUUAAUGUUCGAGUUCGGCACCGUAAGGUUCCACAGUUCUUGCUCGAGCUUUUGUACCUCCCCUUGGGGGCAGUACUCUGCGAUUAGCAUCUCCUUUAGUUCUUCCCAGGACAUGGCAUUCGCAACGGGAAGUGUCAUGGCCUCAAUGUGACCGUUCCACCAUGACAAAGCUUGGUCGAUGAAUGUACAGGCUGCAAAUUUCACUUUACUCCCUUCUGGACAUUCACAAAUCUCAAAUACUGACUCAACCUUCUCGAUCCAUCACUUCAAAGCUAUGACUCCUCCAGUCCCGUUGAAUGUGCGGGGUCUUGCAUAGGAAAAGUCCGUGUAGGUACAGACCUUUGCAGGCCCUUGAUUCAAGCCUUAGUGGGAGCUUCCCGUCCCUUGGCCAUUCCCACCACCGUUGUUUCUAGUUUGUAUGUGGGCGAGGGUUGCCAUCACUGCAGCUGAGACUGGCGUUUGGAAUGCAGCAUAAUUCAUAUCCGGUGUAGGAGGCAGCGGUGGUGCUGUGUUGUUAUUCUUACGGAUUGGUCUCCUCAACAUCUUUCUGUCAUGAAUCAAAAGGAUAAUGAGUAUAUAGUGAUUUCAGAUAUUGAGGAUUGUUUAGAGAUCGCGGUGGUUUGCUUAUGCAACCCAACCCGAUGUUAGAGAACAUAGCAAACACGUUUGUCAUAAAACACAGAACUGUUGCAUUAACGAUAAUUUCUUAGUACACACAUGAAAAUUUGCCUUUGAAAGGCAUUCGGUACAUAGAGGAAAUGAAAUCUGCUAGUACAUAGAUUCAAUGAGGAGUGCGGUUACUUAGUUUUUAGAGUUAAUCCUACAUUCAUAAGUAAAAGAGAGUUAUUUGGUUAACAGUAGCAAGUAAAACAGGUUCUAGUUGCGGUGGGGGGAAUUCGAUGGUGCGGCUGACGACGAGGAUGCACCCUAAAGUUCAGCUAGUCGACACUCAGCGAUACGCACCCUCUCCUCCAGAAUAGCAUGUCGCACCUGAUAUUCUCUCACCUCUGCUCGUGCAACGGUAAGGUCUUCAAUCAAACACCCCAUUGGGACAUAGCCUCGUUCAAGAUCCUGGAUGCGAGCAUUGGCUUACUCCGAGGCAACUCUCAUCUGCACUAUCUGAUUGGUGGUCACUUGAGCCUGAUCGCCAAUAUAUCUGAUUUGUCAGACCACAACUGGGAGAGCACGGUCAGUGGGUCCUCCAUGACCGAGAUCAUAAAAUCUUUGCUCCAUUCCAUAUGGAGGUGGCUGUUGUUGAUGCCUUCUCCAUCUCUCGAUGUCAUGAGCCCAUGGAGGCAUGGGACCAUAGGGACCCAGAUGACGUGGAGGUACCCUAUGGACGUAGGGAGGGUUGAUGACUUUGGACUCGGCGUCCGACAUGUCAUCCUCCUCUUCUUCUUCCUUUUCACUGUUAUCUCCAUCUUCAAGUUCUUCCAUGGGUUCUUCCUUUGGGUCUUCCUCGAUCCACCCUCCAUUUCCCUGAUUAGGGAAAUAGGGAUCGCCUGGCAAAUGAAAUCUUGCCAUGUCGUCUAUACGAGAAUAGGGCAUAAGAAGAGUGUAGAAAAUUCUUGAAGCGACAAAGUACUCCCAUAGUAUUAUUUUUUUUAGUUGUUUACGUUUGGUUCUUAACACUUUUGGGAUAUGAGCUGAGAAGUUUUAGGCUUGUUGAAAUGCCACUACCACUCCCAAACACAUGUUGGUCACGUCUCAAAUAAAUAUAGUUGAUCAGGCUAUAUUUAUCUCAGAUAUGAUUACAUAACUGUCCAGGUUUGACUGUAGUGUUCAACCUUUGAGUUCCUUUUUUUUCUUAUUUGAUACUGUGCUAGUAAGUAUGUUUACUUUUAGUCAGAGUGUGUUUUAGUCACAUUGUAUUUAUAGUUGUAUAUCUUGUAUGGCUAGAUAUACUAGUUCACUAUAAACAAUGCUCUGAUACCGAUAUGUCAGACCCCUGGACCAGGCGGCGGAAACGUCCGGAGGCGGGAGACUUCAUUGUACAGUAUCACCACAAUUGAAUAUAAAUGAAACAUAGCAAAUCCAAGAAUUAUACAUCAAUAUAACAAACUUACAUUGUUUUACAUCAUGCUUAUGUUUUUGAAUUACACAAAAGAAACAAUGGUGAGUAAGUUCCAAAAUACAUCAAAAGAAUUCAGCAUCCGCUGUCACACCCCAAAACCGGAACGAUGGAAACAUUCAGGGGUGGAGGACGUCAUGUACAGUAUCACAACAAAGCAUAGUAGUAAAUAAGCAACAACAUCAUCCAUUGCAUUAAUAAUAUAAGUUAAUACAAGUGUGUUCUGUGAAGUUUAUAAGACACCAAAAAUGUAAAUCAAAAUAAGAGAUGAGUCUUGAAUGAGCUCCAUCUUCUCAAAACCUGGCAUCGGUACCUGUCUACUGAUGACUUGAGAAUACAAGUUAUUUUGAAAGAGUUGAUCAGCUUUAAAGCUGGUGAGUUCAUAAGCAUUUUAGUGUCAUUGUUUUUAUGAAAAUGUUUGUAAGUGUCUGAUGUGUAAGUUUGUAAAUGUUUGUAGUAAAUGUUUAAUCUAGAAGUUUGUAAAUGUUUGUGUUUCCUAGAAAAUCCUAUAUUUUCUACUAAACGUAGCCUUUUACCAAGGCAUCAAAUGUUAUUUAUGUCUGUUUCUUGUAUGAGUGUGUAUUUUCCCAAAUGUGACUAUCAUUAACCAAAAAUAUAGUUUUUACAUUACCCUUUAUAUGAGAAGAUCACACUGGGAAUGUAAUGUGGAAAUAAUAUAGUAUUGUAGUGUUGUAUUAUAGUAACUACUAUUGUACUAUCUACCUUAAUCCGGCCGUUAAUUAAGAUACAAUGUGAAAUGGUUGCACCAUACUAUCGACUAAUAACACGAUUGACAUUUGGCACCCGUAGACUUGCAAGUCCCACUGUAGCGAACAGCAAGGUGUAGGAUAGUCAAUCCAGUAUAGAUCUAUACACAAAUUCACGCUCUCCCUCCAGGAGACUUUGGAUACAAAUUGAGCCACGGCAGCGAUGCCAUGCCCCGAACAAUGGUUCACAUUUAUGUUAUUGUAUACUUGUAUAUGUAUUAUAUAUACUAGAGUAUCGUAUGUUCUCUCUGUCUAGUAUAAAGUAUGUUCUCUUUGUUUCUCAUCAUAGUAUGUUCUUGUAUAGUGUAUAGUAUGUAUUGUUUCUCAUAUAGUAAGUAUUGAAUUCAUGUAUGAACUGACUCUUUGUAUGUUUCAUUGUACUAGAAGUAAUGAGUAGUAUCUUCCUAAACUAUACCUAUUAUAGUUUAAUAGUGGAAUUGUUUGCAUAACUGAAUGUAUUGAACUGAGAUAAAAGCUUUUAUGUCGAUACAUAUAUACAUAAUAUAUAACUAAGGAUCAAACGACACUCGGACAAACAACAGCGUACUCUAAGUCCACAACCAAACAAGGAACAUGAAGUAAAGUGUGCUAUCAGUCCUAAGUCCUUCAAACCUUACUUAUAUAACUAUAUAUGUAUUAGACAUGGUUUUGACAAUAUAUAUAAGUUUAAAAAGAAGUUUUGUAAAACCUUUUGAAGAGUUUGAUAUUAAACAUUGGUGACUCGAUGUCAUUCUAUGAAACGAUUUAAAAGCAGUUUGGCAUAUAAGAACAAGUUUGAUAAAGAGUUUGACAUGUAAAACAAGUUUGAUAAACAGUUUGAAGUAGUUUGUUUGAUAAAACAGCUGAAAGUAUAGUAAUUCCAUUUGUUUGAUAGUUAUUAAUCACAUGUGAUUGAUCUAAUAACUAUAAUGUUUCAACUUGUAUUCCCCACCCCCCACCCCCCCCNUAAAAGGUUGAUUAAGGGGUAUGAACCCACAUGUAGUGAGUGGUACGAAAGUAUGUUUGGGAAAAGGAUGUAGAGUGUCGGGUGAAACCUUGAGCACACAAAGAUCCUAAUAAACAUAUAAUGACAUGUAUGUGUAUUUGAUUAGUGUAUAAACAACUAAUUAUAAGGGAUAACACCCUAAUAGACUUGGAAACUCUUAGAUUGAAGGGAUACAAUCACAUAUGAUUGCAUAACUAGGGUGUAUGGCCACCCUAAAGAGUUUACGGUCCAAACGGCAUGACCAUAGGAGCUUACGGUCAAAAGGGUAUGACCAUAGGAGUUUACUGUCAAAAUGGUUCACGGUGCUAUGAAGUUUACGGUCCAAGUGUUCAUGGUCUAAUGACCUUACGGUCAUGGAGUUCACGGUCUGAGGAGAUCCAACUGUAAACUCACCAAAUCUUUCACAAAUGAUGGUUUUCAAGGGCUUCAUUCAAAGGAAUUGGAUUCUAGGGACCAGGCUUAGCCUUAGGAAGGUUUAAGGCUAUAAGAACACCCCCUUUAUAAGGGUUUACAGUCUAAGGAGAUGCACUAGACCGUAAACACCUUUUGAUCUUGGAAAAAUGAUGUUUUCAAGGCCUAAAUCUAAUAUCAUAACUAGAUAACAAGUAUAGGAGGAUGAUACUUACGAUUUGAAGGCAAAGAAAGGUGUUUUCGGUCCAAAACACUAAAGUGUUCUUGGUGUUCUUGAGGAUCUUGAAGAUCUAGACUCAAAACAUGAAAUCCAUGGAUGAAUCAAGAUGAAACAUUGAUUUAGGAAGGAUCUAACACACAAAGAAGGAAUCACUUACUUGAUCUUGAAGAUUUGGAAGCAAAAGUUUAUGAUACUUGAGAGAAAAUCGAGAUUCUAGGCUUGUAAAGGAAGGAAUGAUAAAAAAAAUGAUCAUAAUAUAUACAUAUAGGGGAAGUUUACGGUCACCAUGACCGUAAGCUCUACACUUCCUGACCAUCAACUCCUUUUGAGGAGGUUUACGGUUUGCUAGAUGGUUUGGAACUUUAACUGAUAAAUCCAAACACUGAUUCUUUUGAUGCACUAGCCUCAGAAUACUCAGAAACAGCCCUAAACAGUGCUAAAAGAUAGCCACACAAGUCUAACUUGGAUAGAUUUGAACGUCUAUACAAGCUAAAAAUUUCGGGUUGUCACAUCCGCAGCUCACAAACCUGUUUACCGAUUUCUAGAGAAUACAAGUUGUUUGAAAAGCGUCAACAUAAAAUAUGUUGGUGAGUUCAUAAGCAUUUUGCAUAAAAAUCUAUGUGAGUUUGAAAAACCAGGAAAUCCCAUAUUUUCUUAUCAAAAUAGUUGUAAGUCUCGUUUUCAGUCUAGUAUAGUUGCGUGUGUGUUAUAGUCUAUCGUUUUCGAAAUCGUAUACAAUCGUUGUCAAAUUCGUGUACAUUUGUUUUCCCCAGAAAAUCCUAUAUUUUCUGAAUGUGUAAAAUAGUAGUAUUAAAACCCUAAUACUUGUGUGGUAUAAGCUUCGUUUAAAGUACUCAACAAUCGUUAAUAUAGCCGGAAAGUGUAACAUAUGUUUAUUUCUAAACAAUUAACUGUUAUAUUCUAUGUAAGCCGUUAUAACUAUACUAAUAUGACGGAGGCCUGUCUUGGCGUUUCUCAGGCGCCUGCAUUUGUUUGAAGACAUUUGUCACCCUAGACUUCCCAGUCUAGUUGUAGCGAACAGCGAAGGUGCGGGGUGUCAACCCCGUAUAGAUCUAUACACAAAUUCUCGUUCUAUCUCCAGGAGACUCUGGUUAUAACUCUUUACAGGACUUAGACGUACACUAAUAUAUAUAUAUAUAUAUAUAUAUANUAGGUACUGUGGAGAUUCGUCUGACUAGAAUACUAACAUGCUUUUGAGCAAAUUGUGAAAAUCCAUUAUUUAUUGAAAUAAAUAAAAGUAAUUAUCCUUAUUGGUUAAAUCUAUCAUUUUCAUUUAUUGAGGAUAAUCCACUUGGACAUCAUAUUUAUCAAAAAUGACAAAAUAUUUAUCGGUAUUGGCAAAAAUGGCCCUUCCUUUUAUAAGUAUCAAAUAAGACCCAUAUUUGCCAAAAGUGGUCAUAAGUAGCUAAAACUUGGUGAAAUGUAUAAAAAUGACCCAUUUCUUCUAAAAUGUUAAUUUUAGGAUUAUAUCUAUGUAAAUAUUCAAAAAGGCCCUUGUUUAUCCAAAAUUCUACUUUUGGUCCUUUAAAAAUUGAGAUAUUCAAUAAUUCCACAAACUUAUCCUAUAGUGCAAAGAUAAUCUUUAUAUUCCCAUAUGGCUGAAAAUGGUCCCUCACAAGUAUUAUUAUUUCCAUUUCCUAACCAGGAUUUGAUACUUUCCAUCAUUUGAGUAUUAUGGUUUAACCACUUAAUGUAAACAUACUAGUUUUGAUACUUUCCAUCAUUUGAGUAUUAUGGUUUAGCCACUUAAAUCAUCGCAAAUUUUUGAACUCAAGAAACUAUUUCACAUGGAGUUUUCAAAGAUAUAACACACAUAUAACUUAGUAUAUAUGUCUAACAAGCAAGCAUAAGUAGAUUCAAACAAAACCUUGACUUGUAUCCUCCCCCAAAAACCAUGAAAAACAUCAAAAAUAGGGGUAUGAAGCUCACCUUGGGUAGUAGAUGGUGUGGGUGAAGAGAUGGGAGGAUGAGUUAGAACCUAGAACACAUGAAGUGUGGGGUGAUCCUCUUGAGAAUUUUUGCUAGGAUAAGAUUAUAAACACACAAAUUUAUGUGUGAGUUGGAGUUUAAAAUAGCUAAUGGUAUGAAACUCUUACUAGACAUAAACACUUACAAGAACUUAGUAGGGUUGAUGAAGGAAUUGGUUCUUGAACUUGGAUGAAGCCUUGAGAGUGUUUUCGUCGUUUAUAGAACGCAAAUGUGAGUUGUGAAAUGGGGAAAUAGGGUUCACGGUCCCUAAUAUGGGAUAAGGGAAUGAUAAGAUGUUUACUUUGGUUACUAUUAGAUAAUGCAUGAAUAACUGAGUUUGUAUUUGAAAUCUACGCAUUACAGCUUGCAUCCACCGUGAACACCAUUAAAUUGAAAGGGGUUCACGGUCCAAAUGGACCAUAAACCAUGGUUUACGCUCAAAAGGUAGUUCUCUAGGGUAGUUUACGACCAAAAAAGUAUCAUGGGGGGGGGGGGGUUACGGCCUAAACUUUGCCUAGGAUGGUGUUUAUGGUCAAAGCUUGAAUUAUUAAAUGUGUUUACACCCAAUACACCUCCUAGGAAGGUGUGCACGGCCUAAAGGUGCUUCUUUAAGUUGUUCACGGUCAACCUUUGAUGUGUUAAGGAUGUUCACGACCAAAGUGAUUUCUAGGAAAAUGAUCAUGGUCUUGGUGUGUAGGAUUCUUAAUAUGCUUGUUUAUGUUAUCAUUUUUGACAUAACUUAAACUUCUUAUUGUUUUCAUCAACUAAGGAGGCUUUAGGUUAUUAUAAUUCUCAAAAAUAUUACAUUACCAACAUAUAAUAUUAGCAUAGAUACAAAUAUUACAUGUAAGGGACUCCUUUGGCUUGGUUUCUAGACUUGGAAAUUUCCGGUUGUGACAUGAGGUAAAAAUCUCUCAUCUUGAUGGUACUUUAUGCUAGAUCCAUCUUAUGAUGUUAAUUAUGCAUUUUUGGGUUUUUAAGUCAUGUAUGAAGUUAUGGUCUACUCCAAAAGCUAUGGAUGUUAGAUCUUUGUUUAUUUGAGGUCCCUUGUCGAUAAAAAUGCAACCUUUAUGGGUUAUUUUGGUCGAUGCAAGUGUUAAGAGUCUUAUUAAGCUUCUUUUUGAGUUGUGGACCUUAUUAAGUUAUGUAUGGGUGUAAAUUUCCAACUUUACAUAUUAAGUCACCAUUUAGAACUAGAUAUGAGAGUUUAGCAUGUUGGCUUAACCAAUUAAGUGAUUAAUGGGUUGGGUUGGUAAUCCGGGGAGUACGUUGGGCGUACCCAGCUGGUACGUUGUGUGUACUGGCCCCGGAAGGAGUUCGCUAAGCGUAUGAGCUGAGUACGCCCCACGUACUCAGCAGACCGACCUUCGGUUUAAUUUCUUCGAUUUGGGCCAUAUUUUGGGCUUUUAGGAUUUGGGCCUUGUUGGGCCAUUGGACUUAUGACUUUGGGACACGAAUAGACUAUGGACUUUCUUAGGAUUAGGACCAUGAUGAUUUUUGGGCCCAAUUUGGAAGUUGGGCCUUAUGAUGCCAUUUAGGAAUUUGGGCCUUUUGAGCAAAUGGGUUGGGCCUUGGUUUUGGGCCAAGUAAGAAAAAGGUUAAAUUGAUCUUUUACCCUAGAUAUUGGACAAGUAGCUUAAAUUCUUGAUUAUGGGUCGUGAUCCAAUUACUAAUUGGAUAUUAUUUGAUGAUGUUAGCGUCGGGAUUUUCCGGACCAACAGAUCGAGAUUUAUUUGAAAGAUUUAACAGCUAGAGUUGAGUUUCCUCACUGUGUUUAACGUGUCAAAGACACCAUUGCUGGCCCAAGGUUUGAUAUGUAUGGUAUGUGGUAUUUUGGGGAACUCACUAAGCUUUGUGCUUACAUUUUUCAGUUCAUGUUUUAGGUACUUCUGGUUUGAAGGGGAAGAGCCCGGGAUGAUUGUAGUGCAUACACCACAUCGUUCUGCAUUUUUAUAUUACUCUGAUGUACUUGGAUGUUAUUAAUACACUUUGAUUCUGUGACAACCCGAAAUUUUUUUUAUUUUUAUAAAGCUUAGUCAAUCAACCCAACUAGUUGUCAAAAUCAUUAGUAUAGAGUUCAAUCCAGGUUACAUGUCAUUCUAAGGAGUUUUGAGCCUAAUACACUUAAGGAAUAAGUGCUAGAAAGUACCCGCUAGAACCACAGUGUAGCAAAUCGGACCCUAACCCCAUCUAAGUGAGUUCACGGCCACAAGACCAUGAGUUUACGGCCGUAAAAUCAUGUGGCCGUAAACUCAAGGGUAUAUAUAGAGCCUUGGGUCAUUUCCUCUCACUUCUUCCUUUCCUGGCCGGAUUUCCUUCCAAAUCCUCUCAAGUAUCAUCCCGAUGUUCGUCCCCGAUCUUUAAAACUCGUAAGCUUGUUGUCUUAACUAGUUGAUAUCUUGCAUGAACUAGUAAUCUUACAUGAUUUCAUCCGUGAAAUCAUUCCAUUUUGUAGAUCUUCAAGUUUCACCAAGAACACACACUCGUGUUCUUGGCCAAUAUCGACAAUUUGAGCUCGUAGAUUGUAAGUACAUGGGAUUCAAGGAAUCAUGGGAUUCAAGGAGUUUACGGCCAAGACAUGUUCUUUGGUCGUAAACCCCUUUUUAGGGUGCAAAUGACACCCUAACACCUUAGUAAGCUUUGGUUAGUGACAUAGAACCUUACCCCUUGGACCUAAGGACCAAGAUUCAAGAAAUGGUACCCCUUACCAUGAGUUUACAGCCGUAAACUCAUGGGGGAGUGGUCCCAGGGCCGUGAACACCAAGCAAGACCAUUUUAGGACCUUAAACCCACCCAAACUCUUGUUUAAAGCUUUGGAGCACUUAACCAAUUAAUCCCUUAGAGUUUUAANGGUGACCAAUAGAGUUUACGGCCAGGAGUAAACUCCCCUGGGCCGUAAACUCCAAUAAAGAUGGUCAUUGGACCAUAAACUCCCGUAUGAGGCUGUACACUCCUUUGUUGCAACCCGAUAGCUUCCUAGCAUUUGACUAAAGUGUUUUCCUCGCAAUAGGAUGUUUAUACAUGUUAAUUAGUGUUUUAAUCACUAAUUGUUUAUAUACAUAUGUCUUCAUAUGUAAUUAGGAUCAUUGUGUGUGUCUAAGUCUUCACUUGACAUCCAGUACUUGUCCGACACUUCCAUCCAAUACACUCGCUACAGGUGAGUUCAUACCCCUUGAAUUAACCUUUUAAAUGUUGCUAAAUAUUUUUAAAUGCUUUAUGGGGAGGGGGGAAUACAAGUUGAAUCAUGCUAGUUAUUAUAUCAAUCACAUGUGAUUAAUAACUAACAUACAAAUGAAUUUACUAUACGUUAGCUGUUUUACCAAACAUAUUUCUUCAAAGGACUUUCUUAAACGUUUUUAUAUGUUUUAAAACUCUUUAUCAAACUGAUUUAUACACUGUAUGUUUCUUUUCAAACUCCAUUACAAAUGUAUUUCAAACAAAGGUUUUCUUUAUACUUCAACUGUUUAUUCAAACAAAUACUUUCAAACCGAUUUAUAAAUUGACAACAAGUCGAUCUUUUCUUAGAUAUUAAUCUUUUUUCAAAGGUUUUACAAAACUUCUUUUAUGCUUUUAUAUUAUCAAAUGCAUGCCCACAUAUGUAUAGUUAUAUAAGAAAUGUUUAAAGGACUUAGGUGUAGGGUUUUGAGCAAUCUAACACUUCCUAAGUGUGCAUGCAACCCUAAUAAACCUUGGAUCUAUGUUUUCUUCUAAAAUACAUGCAAAUAAUAAUUUCCAAGGUUUCUUCCUAACUAGCAUAGCAUAAGGAUUAUGAAUCAUAAAACUACUAGUAGAAAUACAUACCUUUUGAUGGUGGUUGAUUGCUUGGAGUUUGAGAGCCUAGCACCAAUAAUGUGAAUGCCUCAAAUGGAAUCACAAAUCACCACAAACACUUGGAAAACUUUGAGAGAGUAGUAUACUUUCUUAUGAAAUUGGCCACCACUAAGUCUCACACAACUAGUGUCAUUUCUUGCAUCAUAUGCUUCUUUAUAUAGUGUGCAUGGUUAGGGUGAAACCCUAAUAACCCAUGUCUUUUCCUUUCCAAGGAUCCAUGGGUUAAAAGCUCCAUGGAUCAUCCAUGGACUUCCAUAUUAGCUUAGCCCAUUAACAAAUGAGUAUUAGCCCACACUAUAUAAAAUAUAAUAGCCCAUAAUUUAAUCAGUCUUCUUUUUAAUCUCUAAAUUAAUUCAUAAUUAAUUUAAGACUAAAACUAAUUAAAUAACAUGACUUCAUAUUAAUAUAUUAUAACUUAUAAUAUAUUAAUAAAUCGUAAGUAUACAAUUCUCAUAAAAUUAUCCAUAAAUCGUUUGGGUGAAGUGCAACCCAAAUGGACCAUGCCGGGUCGGGUCAAGUAUGUACCAAAUAAGUUAUGGACUUAGACACCUUAUCCAACAGACUCCCACUUGGAUAAGUCUAAUAACUAUAUUUGCGUAUGUUACUUCAGGAACCAACCANCCACUUUAUUUCCUUUUCCCUGUUGGGAUGUGGUCUGGUAGGUUAUCGGGUAUCCGGCUGAAUGUCGUAUAAGUAUUCGUUAUAUAUCAUGUAUACAUAUGUAGACAUAAAAGUGCCUUCAGUCAGUUCAGUACCUUUGGCUAGCAAAGGUAUACUUUCGUUGAUACUUGUACAUCUCUAGUAACUAUUAUAGGUAUAGUUAGGAGAUACUACUUGUUAUUCCUAUUACAAGGAAUUACACCAGAGUCAGUUCAUUCAUGAGUCCAUAUGGUAGCUCCCAUUCCAAAUCCUAACCCUCGUCCGACUUUUCAUGGCCCGACGCCUCCUUGGGUAGAAUGUUUGGAAGCAUGGAGCGAAGAUCAAGAUCAACCUAUGCCGUUUAAUGGAGACCGAAGCUUCUACAACAUAAAUGAAGGGGGCACAGCAGACAGAGUUCUACCAAUCCUGAUCCAUAGAGUUACCUGAAACGAAAUUCAGGGCAGGAUCGCUCUACAUCGUAUCGCAGAAGUUGACACCAAUGGAGGAAUGCAUAUCCUUCGCACCAACCACCUUGAUCAUGCUCGUGAGAGAUCAGAGAGAGACCACGAAAUCCUGCUGCAAGCACUAGCUGAAACCCGAGUCGAAGUCAUAGAGCUCUGAGUACACCAGAGGGUGUACGAAAGACACCUGCUUGAUGUGGAACGCCAACUGGCUGAACUGAGAGUUCACUAGAGGGAUGGCCGUCGCCAUUAGGAGAUACUUUACUUUCCUCCUUGUUUUAAGGAACCGUGUUCCUGUCUAUGUCCUAUGUGGAAUUUUUUAUGAAACUGCCUUGUUUUGUAGGUACUUUUAGUUAGGCCUUUAUGCGGCCAAAACUUUUGCUACUCCGGAUAUGAUGUAAGACCUUCUUCAUGGUCAAAAUGUCCCUGAACUUAUUACAUCUUAAACAUCGAUGAUGUUGACAGUCGGCUAACUUUCGUGUCACGUUUCUGUUCAAAUACUCUCAUCAUACUUUCAUUGGAGUCUAUCUGAAACAUGCUUUAGUCAAGUCAUUGGACUAUAGUAAUUGAACUCCGAAGACAUUUCCAAGUCUCUUUCAGUGGUUGGAUCAUAUUAUCCACCAACCCAUAGUACCUCGGCGUGAACGACAAACGUCUUGAGACUAGUCUACGAACUUACUUCUACUCCUUACUAGGACUGCAUCAUAGGGAUGUAGGUCAAACCUUCGUGAACAUAAUUCCAUUCCGUACUAGGACUACAUCAUAGGGAUAUAGUUCAAACCUUCGAGAUCAUACUCUUACUCUUUCAUUGAACGAUCGAUGUACAUCCAGGGUCAAUAGUAGCCUUUACUAGGAAAUCUUAGUUCAUCGAAAAAGAUUCGUAAGAAGAUUAUUGUCAUGAUUUUCCUCGCUUAUACAUUCCCGAGUUAUAUAUAACGAAGACCUAGUAGACAAUAGAAUGUGAGAUUUCUAGCGUAGUUUCUUUUCCUCGUUGGGAUGUGGGACUAGAGUAGAAUCACACAUUUUAUUAUCCGCCCCGUCUUGAUUAUAUCAUAACGUGUAUGAGCUAGGUUUUCAUGUAUAAUAACUCCUCUCUUGGCCUAAAUCAAAUGAUACAAGAACCGUCAGGACAAUUUAACGACUACUCAGCAACAGAAUGAAAAGACCAAGCUUCUCACCUUUGGGAGCUCUGGUCUUAUUCUUCAAGAAUACAGAAUCCAAGAGGUGCAAUCAUACCAGCACUAAUGCACCGGAUCCCAUCAGAACUCCGCAGUUAAGCGGGCAUAGGCGAGAGUAGUACUAGUAUGGGUGACAUUUGGGAAGUCCUCGUGGUGCAGACCUCCACAGGAUUUCCAUUAGAAAUCAUCACUCUCUGCCUCGCAUGGAUGAAUCAGUUGACCAACCACAAGGAAUGAUGUACCUUUUAGAAAUGAACCUAAGAUCCGAAUAUCACCAGUUACGAGUGUUAGUAAAGGGUGUCCAGUGGAUAAUCUUCCAAACUCGAUGCGGACACUACAAGUCCGUAAUGAUACCCCUCGGAUAGGACUAAUACACCCGUAAUAUUCAUGAACUUAAUGAAUAGGGUACGCCAUUCUUACUUAGAUCAGUUCGUCAUUGUCUUUAUAAAUGACUUACUUAUCUACUCUCGUAGUAAGAAGGAAAUCAUAAAGAGCAUCUACAACAAACCAUGGAAACAUUACGAUCGGAGAAGCUUUACGCGAAGUUCUUUAAAUGCGAGUUUUGGAUUUGAAGGGUCGAAUUCUUAAGACACAUUACCAAUAAUGUGGGAAUUCUUGAGGACCCUACCAAAAAUCAAAACCGCUGAGAAUUUGUCAACACCGAGGAUGUCGACAGGAAUUCGCCAAAUUCUAGGUCUUGCUGACCUACUGUCGGGAGUUCAUUCAGAACUCCUUGCGGAUUACGAAACCUCUUAUGACUUUGACUCAGAAGGGAGUGGCCCUUGACUAGGAAGACAAGCAAGAGGAAGAAAACCUUGGAAUUUUAGGUGAGAGGCCAAAUCCUUUGGAAAUCUCACUCUAGGAAGGCUUAAUACGCUUCGGAAAGCGUGGUAAGCCAAAUCCAAAAUAGUUAGGACCUCCGAGAUUCUUGCCAGAAUCGGUUUUGAAACUCACAAACCCAACCUACACCACAAACUCAGUAACGUACAUUUUACCCUUCACGUCUCGAACUUGAAAACAUACCUUUGCAUCAGGACUCUUGUAAGCCCACUCGACGAGAUCGAGAUCAAUGAGAUCCUCGCCUUCGUGGAAGAACCAUAGUGACCCUCGACCGAGUGGUCAAGCGGACGAAGCAAACGCCGUCGCCCAUUAGUGAAGGUUCGUUGGGAUACCAACCGAGGACCUGGUUUCACUUAUGAACACGAGCACCAAUCGAUUAGGAAGUUUCCCCAUCUCCUUGCUCGAUUAUUCAUGCCUACUUCCUUACUUAAAAUUCUAAUUUCAGGACGAAAUUCCCUCUAACAGGGGGAUGAUGUGACAACCCGAAAUUUUUUUUAUUUUUAUAAAGCUUAGUCAAUCAAUCCAACUGGUUCUCAAAAUCAUUAGUACAGAGUUCUAGCCAGGUUACAAGUCAUUCUAAGGAGUUUUGAGCCUAAUACACUUAAGGAAUAAGUGCUAGAAAGUACCCGCUAGAACCACAGUGUAGCAAAUCGGACCCUAACCCCAUCUAAGUGAGUUCACGGCCACAAGACCAUGAGUUUACGGCCGUAAACUCAUGUGGCCGUAAACUCAAGGGUAUAUAUAGAGCCUUGGGUCAUUUCCUCUCACUUCUUCCUUUCCUGGCCGGAUUUCCUUCCAAAUCCUCUCAAGUAUCAUCCCGAUCUUCGUCCCCGAUCUUCAAAACUCGUAAGCUUGUUGUCUUAACUAGUUGAUAUCUUGCAUGAACUAGUAAUCUUACAUGAUUUCAUCCGUGAAAUCAUUCCAUUUUGUAGAUCUUCAAGUUUCACCAAGAACACACACUCUUGUUCUUGGCCAAUAUCGACCAUUUGAGCUCGUAGAUUGUAAGUACACUUGAUCUAACUCAUUGUACACCAUGUUUAUCAUAUUUAGUGGUUAGAAAACAUAACAAAUCAUGGGAUUCAAGGAGUUUACGUCCAAGACAUGUUCUUGGGCCGUAAACCCCUUUUUAGGGUGCAAAUGACACCCUAACACCUUAGUAAGCUUUGGUUAGUGACAUAGAACCUUACCCCAUGGACCUAAGGACCAAGAUUCAUGAAAUGGUACUCCUUACCAUGAGUUUACGGCUGUAAACUCAUGGGGGGAGUGGUCCCAGGGCCGUGAACACCAAGCAAGACCAUUUUAGGACCUUAAACCCACCCAAACUCUUGUUUAAAGCUUUGGAGCACUUAACCAAUUAAUCCCUUAGAGUUUUAAGCCCCUUUUGGUGACCAAUGGAGAGUUUACGGCCAGGAGUAAACUCCCCUGGGCCGUAAACUCCAAUAAAGAUGGUCAUUGGACCAUAAACUCCCGUAUGAGGCUUUGCACUCCUUUGUUGCAACCCGUUAGCCUCCUAGCACUUGACCAAAGUGUUUUCUUCGCAAUAGGAUGUUUAUACAUGUUUAAUUAGUGUUUUAAUCACUAAUUGUUUAUAUACAUAUGUCUUCAUAUGUAAUUAGGAUCAUUGUGUGUGUCUAAUUUUUCACUUGACACCCAAUACUUGUCCGACACUUCCAUCCAAUCCACUCGCUACAAGUGAGUUCAUACCCCUUGAAUUAACCUUUUAAAUGUUCCUAAAUGUUUUUAAAUGCUUUAUGGGGGGGGAUACAAGUUGAAUCAUGCUAGUUAUUAUAUCAAUCACAUGUGAUUAAUAACUAACAUACAAAUGAAUUUACUAUACGUUAGCUGUUUUACCAAACAUAUUUCUUCAAAGGACUUUCUUAAACGUUUUUAUAUGUUUUGAAACUCUUUAUCAAACUGCUUUAUACACUAUAUGUUUCUUUUCAUACUCUAUUACAAAUGUAUUUCAAACAAAGGUUUUCUUUAUACUUCAACAGUUUAUUCAAACAAAUACUUUCAGACUGAUUUAUAAAUUGACAUCAUGUCGAUCUUUUCUUAGAUAUUAAUCUUUUUUCAAAGGUUUUACAAAACUUCUUUUAUGCUUUUAUAUUAUCAAAUGCAUGCCCACAUAUGUAUAGUUAUAUAAGAAAUGUUUAAAGGACUUAGGAAGGCUAACCCGCUUUAUUUCCUUUUCCCCGUUGGGAUGUGGUCUGGUAGGUUAUCGGGUAUCCGUCUGAAUGUCGUCUAAAUAUUCAUUAUAUAUCAUGUAUACAUAUGUAGACAUAAAAGUGCCUUCAGUCAGUUCAGUACCUUUGUCUAGCAAAGGUAUACUUUCGUUGAUACUUGUACAUUUCUAGUAACUAUUAUAGGUAUAGUUAGGAGAUAAUACUUGCUAUUCCUAUUACAAUGAAUUACACCAAAGUCAGUUCAUUCAUGAGUCCAUACGAAUACAUGUUUUUUUAGAGAUACACUUAAUUGGAUACUCUUACAUGGAUACACUUACUUGGGUAUACUUACAUAGAUACACUUACUUGGAUACACUUACAUGAAGACCUUUACAUAGAUACCUUGUUGAAAGCAUGCCUGUAUAUAUAUAUAGUUAUAUAAAUAAUGUUUAAAGGACUUAGGAAGGCUAACCCGCUGUAUUUCCUUUUCCCCGUUGGGAUGUGGUCUGGUAGGUUAUCGGGUAUCCGUCCGAAGGUUGUUUAAAUAUCAAUUAUAUAUUAUGUGUACAUAUAUAGACAUAAUAGUUCAAGUCAGUCGGUUCAGUACCUUUGGGUAGCAAAAGUAUACGUUCAUAUACUCCUAGUAAACUUUUAGGUAUAUACUUACUUACAACAGGUCUCGUAAGAAGACUACUUACUUACAGCGGGUUUCGUGAGAAGACUACUUACUUGCUUACUUUCAAAACAGUAGGGUCUUGAUAGAAGACUACUUUCAAAAAUGUAGGGUCUUGGUAGAAGAUUUCUUUUAUAGGGAUCAUAGGGAUUUCUAGGGUUAUUCAAACGCUUUCCAUUACUUACAAACAUUUUCAUACUUAUACGACUUUCUUUCAAAACAAUGUCAANGUUCAUAGAUAAACAAACUGCAAGCCAUCACUGAGUACAUUUUCCUUCGGUUUACUUGUUACCUGAGAAUACAAGUAUUUUGAAAAACGUCAACAUAUGAAAUGUUGGUGAGUUCAUAAGCGGUAUUUGAAAAGCAACGUUUUGUAUUGUUUUGAAAAACUACCAGAAAAUCCGAUAUUUUCUGAAAAGAGUUUAUGAAAAAGUUUGUGAAGAUCCAUAAGUAUGCUUGUUUGUUUCUAUAGUUGUAAAAAUUGUUCAUUAAACUUGUGUACAUUUCGAAACCGUAUGUAUUGAAAAACCCUAGGAAAACCCGAUGUUUUCCUAACACUUUGAAUUCCAUGUAGUUGUUGUACCAUCGCGGCGUGUGAAGUCAUUGAUUCCAGGCGACGUCGGAUUAUUGCGCAUGGUGAAUUGCUAUAAACACGCGUUACACAAACGACCAGUUUACAACUAUACUAACGAUCCCGUAGGCGUCGUCCGUACUAUUCACGUAAUCCAACCGCCCUGACUUCUUGUAGUCCCACAUCCGAAGAGAAAGAGGGCACGAAGACCUCGAUAACUCCGUUAGUCGGUUGGGAAAAAAAAGAGUGCGAAGGGCCCUUGACCCGACUCGCAUUAGAAUAACCGACUUUACUAGCAGUACCAAAGGACCCUUGGGGACCAAUAGUAUAAAAGCCAUUGAAAGUCCUUUUACGCUGUGUUGGAUCAUGUAAGACCCAACAACUCGUAAGGUUGAAGUCUUCGGGCCUAAAGAUCAGGUCAUUGGGCUAGCUAGGCCCAACAAACAAGAUUUUACACUUUUGGGCCCAAAGGUGGUGCGUCGACGUCUGUGCACUCUCACGUGUGUAUUGAAUUCCCAAAUUUUCCGUGUAUGAGUCGAGUUAUCGUCGUGUUAGUAGUUUCGGGUUUGUUAUUGAUUCGAGACCGAAUCAAUUCGUUUGAUAACGAUUUUUGGUGUUGUUGUGUAAUAUAAUUCGUCGGUAGUCGUAGUGCCAGUGUUUGAUCACAACGGAUGUAUUGAAUUAACAUUGCAACUUUUCUGUUACAGCCCCUCUUUUUGUUGUAAAUUUACUUUUUCAACCCUUUAAAUAAAUAAAUUUCCGGUUUAGUCCCUAAACCAUUUUUCUUGACAUUUUAACACCAAAACUUAUUGAAAUUGAUAUUUUUCAGCCUAUUUUUAGUUGAAAACAGUUUUAGUCCCUGAAAAUACAGUUUUCUCGGUUAUAACCCCUCUUUUUCGCAGUUUUUACAAUUUUGGCCCAAAUUGGAAAAUUUUUGCAACUUUGGUCCUUUUUAAUUUUGAAAAGCAUUUUAAACCUUAGAAAAGGACUUGGAACACUAGUAGUCCACUGUUUUACAGAAAAACACAGUUUUGGCCCUUCAAAACAGAAAAUUUCGCAUAUUGGGCCCUAUUGGGCCGAAAAUGUCAUUUUUAGCCCAUUAAGCUUGAAAUUUAUAUUUUUAAUCCUCCAAAUGAGUAUAUUUCCAGAAAAUAUUUUAUUGAAACUGUUUUGACUCCUCUCAUCCAUCAGAAUUCGUAAUAUGUCAAUUUGGGCCCUUUAACUUUAUAUUUUUAACAUUUUGUGUCCAAAAAUUGAGUUUUUAGCCCAAAGAAGAUGUUAUUAAGCCACUUAGCUAUUUUUCUUGGAAUACUUUGUAUGUAGAAAUAUAUUUGAUGCUAGUAUCAUUUAACAUAAAGUAUAUCUCGAUUUUUAGGGGUUUAUGGCUAGAUCCAACAUCAUAAACACACAAAAACACACAUAUAAGCAUAGAAAUCAUACAAGGCAUACAAAACACAUAUAGAUCUACACUUUCACUUGUAUUCCCCCCCCCCCCCACAAAACUUAUAAAACAGAAAAAUAGGGAGUAUGAAGCUCACCUUAGGGUGUGGUUUCGGUUUUUGAAGAAAAGAUGGAAGAAAGCUUGGUGAUUUUUGGCCUUAGCACCCUUUUCUUGAAGAUCUCGAGUUUGAGGUGAUUCUAGGAUGCAAGAUCAUGAUUUUUGCAUGGAUUAGGAAGAGAUUUUUGAUAAAACAAAGAAUCUAAGUCAUAGAUCCAAGCAUAACCUUACCUUAGAUGAAGAGUUUGUGGAAAUAUCCUCUUGAAAACCUCCUAAUUUUCGAGAUCUUGAUGAAAGAUAGAGGGAGCUUUCUUGAGAGGGAGUUGUGAGAGAAUUGUGUGUGUGUGUGUAUGAUUCGGCCGAGAGUGAGAGAGGGAGAGAAGAAAUCGACCUUGAGUUGAUGUAUUCAUAGAAGUAUGAGAUGUUGCAUGGAGAUAUGUGGGAUAUUAGUGAGGUGGCAUGCAUUAAGUCAACCCCUCCUCUUUUCUUCUUGGAUUUGGGCCUUAGGCCGAGAAUGUGAAAGGAAAAAGGGGUUUUGGGCUUUAUUGCCCUCAAGCCCAUAUAGAAGUUAAGUUGGAUGAGUCUUGACCUAAAAGAAAUAUAAUAUGAUUUUCACACUUUGUUGGGCUAGUUUAGGUUAAUCAUGGUUCAAAACUUUUAAUUUAUUUCAUUCUAGGCCCAAUAUGGCCCAAAAUGUUGAAAUAAAUUAAUGUGGGUCCAAUUAGAGCCCAUUUAAGGGUUCUAAGCCCAUGAUAGUCAAAUUGGAAGCUUAUUGGUCCAUUGAGUCCAAUAAGGAAGUCCUAGUCCAAAAUGGACCUAAAAAAGAACUUCUAGGGUUUCCAAUUGCUUGUUGACUAUUUGUAGUAUUUGUAUGAUGUAUUUGAUUGAAGUUUUUGAUGUCAUAAUAAUAGGUAUCACACAUGCUCUUAAGUUUUUGAUUCAACAUUUUACUUAAGUAUAGUGAUUACAAGACACAAAAUUUCUAGUUGUGACAUCAUCCCCCCGUUAGAGGGAAUUUCGUCCCGAAAUUCUGUUUGAAAGCUAGAUUUGAGAAUGCUAGAAUAGGUGAGGGUACUUUUGCUUCAUUUGGUCUUCGCGUUCCCACGUGAAUUCUGGCCCACGCUUUGCGUUCCACCGUACUUUCACGAUCGGGAUGCGACUUUGCUUAGUACGCUUCACCUCCCUGUCCAUGAUUUCAAUUGGUUCUUCAACGAACAGGAGAUUCUCGUUGAUUUCGAUUUCGUCAAGAGGAAUGACGAGGGUUUCAUCUGAUAGGCACUUCUUCAGAUUAGAGACAUGAAACACGGGGUGUACACCGUUUAGCUCUGCGGGUAGUUGCAGUCUGUAUGCUACCGGACCUAUUCGGGCGACGAUUUCGAAAGGUCCAAUGUAUCGUGGGUUCAAUUUUCCCCGCUUCCCAAAACGAAUAACUCCUUUCCAGGGCGAGACUUUUAACAGUACUCGAUCUCCGACUUGAAAUUCUAAGGGCUUUCGCCGUUUAUCGGCAUAGCUCUUUUGUCGGUCGCGCGAUGCUUGCAAUCGAGCUCUGAUUUGAAUGAUCUUUUCCGUGGUUUCACGAAUGAUCUCCGGUCCCGUUAGCGCCUGAUCCGACGUGAGUGCUUUUGCUAGCUGGGUGUCACCUACUUCAGCCCAACAUAACGGUGAUCUACACUUACGCCCGUACAGUGCUUCGAAAGGAGCGACCUUAAUGCUUGAAUGAUAACUGUUGUUAUACGAGAAUUCGACUAAAGGUAAAUGGGUAUCCCAUGACUUCCCAAAGUCUAUCACACAUGCGCGAAGCAUGUCUUCAAGCGUUUGAAUGGUUCGUUCACUUUGACCGUCCGUUUGUGGGUGAUACGCGGUGCUCAUGUCGAGAUGAGUUCCUAGUGCCUUAUGGAGAGAUUGCCAAAAACGCGAAGUGAAUCUACUGUCCCUAUCCGAGAUAAUAGACACUGGUACUCCGUGGAGUCUCACGAUCUCUCGAAUGUACAAACGUGUCAAUCUUUCCAUCUUGUAGGAUUCUUUUAUAGGCAGGAAAUGGGCAGACUUCGUCAGUCGGUCGACUAUUACCCAUAUGGUGUCCAGUCCGUCCGACGUCUUGGGUAGCUUGGUCACGAAAUCCAUAGAAAUCCCCUCCCAUUUCCACUCAGGGAUUACCGGUUGCUGUAACAAUCCUGAGGGUUUCUGGUACUCCACCUUUACCUUGGCGCACGUAAGGCACUUACUAACAUAGGUCGCAAUUUCCGCCUUCAUGUUAGGCCACCAAUAGUGUUGUUUAAUAUCCAAAUACAUCUUGUCUGAACCGGGAUGAAUGGAGUAUCGUGUCUUGUGGGCUUCCUUCAUAACAACCUCCCUAAAUCCUCCGAUUUUAGGGACCCAAAUUCGGUUCAUGAAGUAGUAUACUCCAUUCUCCCUUGCCUCUAGGUUCUUCUCCAUCCCGCGUAAUGCUUCGCUUGCUCUAUUUUCCGUCUUCAUGGCCUCUGACUGGACUGCUGCAAUUUGGGUGGCCAGAUGAGAUUGAAUGGUUAUCGAGAGAGUUUUCGCACGGCGAUUAGAGUACUCCUUCCGACUUAAUGCGUCAGCUACCACGUUGGCCUUGCCUGGGUGGUACUUGAUCUCACACUCAUAAUCGUUUAGCAAUUCAACCCAUCUUCGUUGCCUCAUGUUCAGCUCCUUCUGGUUCAGGAUGUGUUGGAGACUCUUGUGAUCCGUGAAGACGGUGCACUUCGUACCGUAAAGGUAAUGCCUCCAAAUCUUUAGGGCAAAAACUACAGCUCCCAAUUCUAGGUCAUGGGUCGUAUAAUUUACUUCGUGCGUCUUUAGUUGGCGGGAUGCGUAUGCUAUCACUCUUCCACGUUGCAUGAGAAGGCAACCUAAACCCUGGUUUGAUGCGUCACAGUAGACUACAAAAUCCUCCGUGCCUUCUGGUAGAGAUAGUACAGGAGCACUACAGAGAGCUUGCUUCAAGGUCCGAAACGCAAUCUCUUGUUUGUCUGUCCAUUUGAAUGGUACGCCCUUCUGCGUAAGCGAGGUAAGUGGCUUGGCGAUCUUAGAGAAGUUUUGAAUGAAUCUCCUAUAGUAGCCUGCUAGACCCAAGAAUUGACGAAUUUCAGUGGGCGUGGUCGGAGUUGCCCAUCCUUCCACGGCUUUGACCUUAGAGGGAUCCACAUGAAUUCCGUCUUGGCUAACUACGUGACCUAGGAAGUUCACACUCCGGAGCCAGAACUCACACUUGGAGAGUUUUGCAUAUAGCUUCUCCGAUCGCAGCGUUUCUAGGAUUUGUCGGAGAUGUUGGCCAUGCUCUUCUUUGCUUCUAGAAUAAACGAGAAUGUCAUCAAUGAAGACAAUGACAAAGUUGUCGAGGAAUGGUCGACAGAUUCGGUUCAUUAGGUCCAUAAAUGCUGCAGGGGCAUUUGUCAGACCGAAGGGCAUUACAACAAAUUCAUAAUGUCCGUAGCGGGUUCGGAAAGCGGUUUUUGGAAUAUCCUCUUCCCGGACUUUGAGUUGGUGGUAUCCAGACCGUAGAUCUAUUUUAGAAAAAUAACUAGCUCCUUGGAGCUGGUCGAAUAGAUCAUCGAUUCGUGGGAGUGGGUAGCGGUUUUUGACAGUGAGUUUAUUUAACUCUCUGUAAUCGAUGCACAUCCUAAAGGAUCCGUCCUUCUUUUUGACAAAGAGCACUGGAGCUCCCCAUGGCGAGUAACUAGGUCGGAUAAAUCCCUUGUCCAGAAGCUCACUGAGUUGGCUGGACAAUUCCUGCAUUUCAGCAGGAGCCAACCGAUAGGGUGAUUUAGCGAGAGGAGUUGCUCCUGGAACGAGGUCGAUUCGAAACUCAACCUGUCUCUCUGGGGGUACUCCCGGAAGAUCUUCAGGAAACACGUCUGGAAAUUCACACGCUACCGGAAUAUCUUGAAUGUUAGUUUCUUCCUUGGUUUUAUCCACUAUGUGAGCCAGAAAUGCCGAAUCCUUCUUUCGUAGGUGCUUUUGUGCCUUGAUGCACGAGAUGAGGCGAAGGUUCAUGCUAGGUUUGUCUCCGUAAAUUACUAGGGUUUCGUGAUUUGGGAGACGAAGACGAACGGCCUUCUCGUGGCACAUAAUUUCAGCAUGGUGGGGGCUUAGCCAAUCCAUGCCGAUGAUCACAUCGAAACUCCUAAUCGAUACUGGCAUUAGGUCUAUUCGAAAGACGUGUUGAUUAAGGGUUAGGGUACAUCCGAUGUAGAUUUCCCCAGUGGAUUCGGUUUUCCCAUUGGCCAUUUCCACCGUAAAGGUUUCAUUUAGCUUUUGGGGUUGUUGUUUUAAUAAAUGCUUAAACUUAUCGCUUACGAAACUUCGCUCCGCUCCGGUGUCAAAUAAGAUGCAUGCAUAAGUGUGGUUUAGGGGAAACGUACCGGUAACAACAGAGGGGUCCUGAAUAGCCUCACCCUGACCCAUGGUCAGCAUCCUUCCUGUUCCUCCGUUUCCUGAAUUGUUGUUGUUAGGGCAGUCUCGGCGGAAAUGCCCCGUCCUUCCACACCCAUAGCAGGUGUGGCUAGGCCCUGCAUUGCUGCCGCCGGUGAUGAUGUUGUUGUUGUUGCGAUGGUUGUUAUUGUUGUUCCCCUGAUUUUGGUUCUGGGGAGGGUAAGUCCUGCAGUACCUUGCAGUGUGUCCCCUUCGGUUGCAACUGGUGCACUGAAAAUCCUUGCAUUCUCCAUUAUGAUGGAUACCGCACUUAUUGCACUUGGGAAGAUUACCGGAAAAAGGUCUUGAAGCAUUUGAAGCGGCUGAGGGUGGAGCAUGUGGUGCGGCUGGAACCGGUGCGGUGACAGCGUUAACCGCCACUGUCUGCUGCUUUUUAGAGGUCUCGGGGCCCUAGCGCCCCUUCCUCUUAUUGUUCUUUCCCUUCUUGCCAUCACCUUCCUUCUUUUUCUCAGCCUCCACUGGCUUCUCGCCCUUCUUGUUGUUAUGGUCAUACAGCUUCUUUGCCAAUCUUUUUGCACUGUCAAAUGUUUCAGGGUUCGCAGCUAUCACAUUCCCUUGAAUUGGUGAUGUUAGUCGCCAAAUGAAUCGCUCAAUCUUCUUUCCUUCCGAGGUGAUCAUACCUGGGCACAACAGAGAUAGUUCACUAAAUCUCGAUAUGUAGGCAUCGAUAUUCGCAUUCUGCACAGUGAGGUUCCAUAGCUCUUGCUCCGUCUUCUGUAUUUCGCCUCGUGGGUAGUACUCAACCAUUAACAUUUCUUUCAUCUCUGCCCACGACAUAGAGUUGGCUAUAGGGAGCGUCAUGGCUUCCACGUGUCCGUUCCACCAAGUGAGUGCUUGGUCCACAAAAGUGCAGGCCGCGAACUUCACUUUCAUCUGCUCAGGGCAAUCGCAUAUCUCGAAUACCGACUCCACCUUUUCGAUCCAUCGCUUCAGGGUGAUCACCCCUCCAGUGCCGUUAAGAGUUCGUGGUUUGGCAUUUGUGAAGUCCUUGUAGGUACAUGUUUUGGUGGGUCCUUGAUUCAUUCCGUUGUUCGAACUUUCAGGUCCUUACCCAUUGACUCCUCCAUUGUUCCCUUGAUGGAUUUGCGCAAUCGCUGCAGUGACCGCAGCAGAUACAGCUGCCUGGAACGCGGCUGAGUCAACUUCGGGUGGAGUUGGUCCUGGGUUUCCGCGAGUAGGUCGGAGAGGCAUCUUUCUGUCACGAAACGGAAAGAUGUUGAGUGUAUGUGGUUUCUGUGAGGUUGUGAUCCUACUGACUAGGUGCAUGGUACGAACUUAAACACUACUGCCAUUGAACAUACAAUCAUAACUUCUCAACACAUAGCAAUUAGUAAUAUCAUAACAAAGCACAUAAAAGUUUAUUAAUAUUAUCCGCAUUUGAUACAAGAAAAUUUUGCUCGUAAGAGCAUACAUGAGUGACACUAAUUCGACAGCAUAACGGAUCUAUGAGUAGUGUAGUAACUUAAACAUAGAGUCAGGGUACAUAGCAUAGUUCCUAACGACCUACUAAGAUAAGUCUAUCCCUAACCGCGAUGAGCUGCGUCCUACAUAGUGACGAGGUCAUAUGCCGAAAUGUUGCGCCAGUAACUGAGCCAUCUCCGCCAUGUCUCCAAUAACCUCAUCCCUCUCAUGCUCAGCUCGCACUGCUCGAGCUUCCAUAGCAUACAGCUGUUGUCGCAGUGCGGNGUUCGGGGGAACGGUUCUCCCUUCGGGGGGUCACUGGUGGAGCGGGGUGGUCUGGUUGCGCCUCGUUCUCACACGGAGGGAUAUGGUCCUUGUCCCCGUCUUGGCCUUCCUCGACGUCGUCGUCGGUCUCACCAAAUUCGUAGUCGGUGUCUAUGUAUUCGUCAGGUCCGACGUCGUGUGCUUCCUCUGGAUUCCCUUCUGGUUCAUCUUCAAGCAUCCCGUGAGCCACUAGGACUUGAUGGAAUUGAAUACCCAGCUGAUCUCCCUCCAUGACGACUGGGGGAAAGUAUAAACUAUCGUCACUCCCACGACUAUGAUAUAUGCUAAAUAGAUGUCCUCUUUUUGGUGCUAAAAGGGUAUAGUUUUAGGUUCCCUAGCUAUUCUGAUCUCAUCAAAACGUGUGUUAGUUGUACUUUGGAGAGAAUGUAGUUGAUCAGGCUACAUCCACUCCUUGGUACCACUAAGAACAGUCCUGAAUUAACCGAGAUACUAGCAUUAUUUUGUUUGGUUCGGCGUUAUGUUCUUAUUCCUAAUGCAAGCAAGGGUGUUUUAUUUACUCGUUUUGUUCAGAGUUAUGUUAGUCCCUCUUUUUGGUUUAUAGUUGCAUAUCAAUGUGUGGCUAGAUAUGCUAGUUCACUAUAAACAAAGCUCUGAUACCAACCUGUCACACCCCCGAACCAGACGGCGGAAACGUCCGAGGGCUGUCGUGACUUAAUUGAAUACCAUAACAUUGAAUAUAUAUGAAACAUAACAUCAUUCAUCACCAUGCAUUAAUAUAGUACAACUGAUAAAGUUUACACUGAGUACAUUGUUUUAGCAUUACAUUCCCAAAAAUAAAUUGUUCGGUUCAUAGAUAAACAAACUGCAAGCCAUCACUGAGUACAUUUUCCUUCGGUUUACUUGUUACCUGAGAAUACAAGUAUUUUGAAAAACGUCAACAUAUGAAAUGUUGGUGAGUUCAUAAGCGGUAUUUGAAAAGCAACGUUUUGUAUUGUUUUGAAAAACUACCAGAAAAUCCGAUAUUUUCUGAAAAGAGUUUAUGAAAAAGUUUGUGAAGAUCCAUAAGUAUGCUUGUUUGUUUCUAUAGUUGUAAAAAUUGUUCAUUAAACUUGUGUACAUUUCGAAACCGUAUGUAUUGAAAAACCCUAGGAAAACCCGAUGUUUUCCUAACACUUUGAAUUCCAUGUAGUUGUUGUACCAUCGCGGCGUGUGAAGUCAUUGAUUCCAGGCGACGUCGGAUUAUUGCGCAUGGUGAAUUGCUAUAAACACGCGUUACACAAACGACCAGUUUACAACUAUACUAACGAUCCCGUAGGCGUCGUCCGUACUAUUCACGUAAUCCAACCGCCCUGACUUCUUGUAGUCCCACAUCCGAAGAGAAAGAGGGCACGAAGACCUCGAUAACUCCGUUAGUCGAUUGGGGAUAAAAAGAGUGCGAAGGGCCCUUGACCCGACUCGCAUUUGAAUAACCGACUUUACUAGCAGUACCAAAGGACCCUUGGGGACCAAUAGUAUAAAAGCCAUUGAAAGUCCUUUUACGUUGUGUUGGAUCAUGUAAGACUCAACAACUCGUAAGGUUGAAGUCUUCGGGCCUAAAGAUCAAGUCAUUGGGCUAGCUAGGCCCAACAAACAAGAUUUUACACUUUUGGGCCCAAAGGUGGUGCGUCGACGUCUGUGCACUCUCACGUGUGUAAUGAUUUCCCAAAUUUUCCGUGUAUGAGUCGAGUUAUCGUCGUGUUAGUAGUUUCGGGUUUGUUAUUGAUUCGAGACCGAAUCAAUUCGUUUGAUAACGAUUUUUGGUGUUGUUGUGUAAUAUAAUUCGUCGGUAGUCAUAGUGCCAGUGUUUGAUCACAACGGAUGUAUUGAAUUAGCAUUUCAACUUUCCUGUUACAGCCCCUCUUUUUGUUGUAAAUUUACUUUUUCAACCCUUAAAAUAAACAAGUUUCCGGUUUAGUCCCUAAACCAUUUUUCUUGACAUUUUAAUACCAAAACUUACUGAAAUUGAUAUUUUUCAGCCUAAUUUUAGUUGAAAACAGUUUUAGUCCCUGAAAAUACAGUUUUCUCGGUUUUAACCCCUCUUUUCGCAAUUUUUACACUUUUGGCCCAAAUUGGAAAAAUUUUGCAACUUUGGUCCUUUUUAAUUAUGAAAAGCAUUUUUAACCUUUGAAAAGGAUUUAUAACAUUAAUAGUCCACAGUUUUACCGAAAAACACAGUUUCAGCCCUCGAAAAUAGAAAAUUUCGCAUAUUGGGCCCUAUUGGGCCGAAAAUGUCAUUUUUAGCCCAUUAAGCUUGAAAUUUAUAUUUUUAAUCCUCCAAAUGAGUAUAUUUCCAGAAAAUAUUUUAUUGAAACUGUUUUGACUCCUCUCAUCCAUCAGAAUUCGUAAUAUGUCAAUUUGGGCCCUUUAACUUUAUAUUUUUAACAUUUUGUGUCCAAAAAUUGAGUUUUUAGCCCAAAGAAGAUGUUAUCAAGUCACUUAGCCAUUUUUCUUGGAAUACUUUGUAUGUAAUAAUAUAAGUUAUGCUAAUAUCAUUUAACAUAAAAUAUAUCUCGAUUUUUAGGAGUUUAUGGCUAGAUCCAACAUCAUAAUCACACCAAAACACACAUAUAAGCAUAGAAAUCAUACAAGGCAUACAAAACACAUAUAGAUCUACACUUUUACUUGUAUUCCCCCCCCACAAAACUUAUAAAACAGAAAAUAGGGAGUAUGAAGCUCACCUUAGGGUGUGGUUUCGGUUUUUGAAGAAAAGAUGGAAGAAAGCUUGGUGAUUUUUGGCCUUAGCACCCUUUUCUUGAAGAUCUCGAGUUUGAGGUGAUUCUAGGAUGCAAGAUCAUGAUUUUUGCAUGGAUUAGGAAGAGAUUUUUGAUAAAACAAAGAAUCUAAGUCAUAGAUCCAAGCAUAACCUUACCUUAGAUGAAGAGUUUGUGGAAAUAUCCUCUUGAAAACCUCCUAAUUUUCGAGAUCUUGAUGAAAGAUGGAGGGAGUUUUCUUGAGAGGGAGUUGUGAGAGAAUUGUGUGUGUGUGUGUGUGUGUGUGUGAUUCGGCCGAGAGUAAGAGAGGGAGAGAAGAAAUGGACCUUGAGUUGAUGUAUUCAUAGAAGUAUGAGAUGUUGCAUGGAGAUAUGUGGGAUAUUAGUGAGGUGGCAUGCAUUAAGUCAACCCCUCCUCUUUUCUUCUUGGAUUUGGGCCUUGGGCCGAGAAUGUGAAAGGAAAAAGGGUUUUUGGGCUUUAUUGCCCUCAAGCCCAUAUAGAAGUUAAGUUGGAUGAGUCUUGACCUAAAAGAAAUAUAAUAUGAUUUUCACACUUUGUUGGGCUAGUUUAGGUUAAUCAUGGUUCAAAACUUUUAAUUUAUUUCAUUCUAGGCCCAAUAUGGCCCAAAAUGUUGAAAUAAAUUAAUGUGGGUCCAAUUAGAGCCCAUUUAAGGGUUCUAAGCCCAUGAUAGUCAAAUUGGAAGCUUAUUGGUCCAUUGAGUCCAAUAAGGAAGUCCUAGUCCAAAAUGGACCUAAACAAGAACUUCUAGGGUUUCCAAUUGCUUGUUGACUAUUUUUAGUAUUUGUAUGAUGUAUUUGAUUGAAGUUUUUGAUGUCAUAAUAAUAGGUAUCACACAUGCUCUUAAGUUUUUGAUUCAACAUUUUACUUAAGUAUAGUGAUUACAAGACACAAAAUUUCUAGUUGUGACACAGCGGGUCUUGUGAGAAGACUACUUACUUAUAGUGGGUCUCGUGAGAAGACUACUUACUUGCUUACUUUUAAAACAGUAGGGUCUUGAUAGAAGACUACUUUCAAAACAGUAGGGUCUUGGUAGAAGAUUUAUUUUAUAGGGAUCAUACGGAUUUCUAGGGUUAUUCAAACGCUUUCCAUUACUUACAAACAUUUUCAUACUUAUACGACUUUCUUUCAAAACAAUGUCAAAACUUUCAUUUCAAGUUUUACAAAUCAAAGACACAUUAAUACUUAUGAAUUCACCAGCCUUUUGGCUGAUACUCGCUUUCAAAAUAACUUGUAUUCUCAGGUCACAAAUAGACAGGUACGACGACCAGGUUAGUGAAGACGGAGCAGUCCAGACUCGUCUUAUUCUGAUUAUUCAUUUUAUUGUUGUAUAUUAUGAAAGAAAACACUUGUAACUAAAAUUAUACUAUUAAUGCAAUGGAUGAUGUUGUUGCUUGUUUACUACUUUACAUUGUUGUGAUACAUUACAUGAUGUCCUCCACCCCAGAACGUUUCUGCCGUUCUCGGUUUUGGGGUGUGACAGAUUCACUAUGGUUUCUAUUUUGUUGUUAGGAUGAUGGUUUUAAUUCAUUUAAAAAUAAAAAAUUUUAGUCUUAAUUUUUGGGAUGUUACUAGCUGGUAUCAAAGCCAUAGUUUGAGGGAUUCGGGAAUACUCUCGGGUGUGUCUGAACACAAACUGAGGGUUUGGUAGAACUUUUCAAAAAAAAAAGUUUUAUAAAAAAGGUUUUCUAAUAAAAGAAAAAGGGUGUGAUGCAUUCAAUCGACCAUAAGUUUUCCCAACAUACUCAUACAUGUUUUAUGAUAUGCUUUGAUUUAUGAAUAUGUGAAUUGCAUGCUAGUUAGGGCUAAGGAUCUGCUCCGGGUUUACAUGAUAGAAUGCUAGGAGAGAUGCCUUUAUAUGCCUACUGUAUGAGCUUGUAGACUUGCAAACUAGUACUGAUCAGUCAGUGAUAGGAUGGCCUGUUUAGGUUAUGCUUGAUUCCGGUUACUCAAUGCUCAAAUGCUUCUUGGUGUGUGCUUUUUAGGAGUUCUCACCAACUUCAGCUAACUAGUAAGCGAAUAUGCUAAUUUACAUAUUACGGAGACUAAAUAAUUUUAGAAGGUUAGUCUUUAAUGCUAUUGCACAACUCUUAUUUGAGUCCAACCGUUGUAGUGUGAGACCUUUCAUUCGAAGAAUUAUUAGGCUUCGGAAACAUGUAAUUGUAUUCGUGAGCUAGUUAGAGGAUGUUACAGGGAGUUCCUUUUGCAGCAGAUGGCAGGGAGUAGUGUGGUGGCUGCCCUUAGAAAACCUAGGAAGAGAUUUAGUGUUGGGAGCUUUGUCUUGUUGAGGAUUAUAUGUAUGGAUAAGAAGUGACUUAGAGGAUUCAAGGUGAUCCUUGAGGAAAGUACAGAUAGAUGUGGAAGGUAGUAUUGGCCCGUACUACUGGAAGCAGAGGAUUCGUACUCGAGCCAAGGAAAUCUGCGAUAAAACCAGGGAUCUUGUAGAGUGUGAGACUCCUCGAUAUUAUUUAUGCAUGUUCUGAUGAUUUGUAUGGUCUAUUUUCAGUUUGGUGACUCUUUGAGGCAGACCAGUUAAUGGUUAUGGUGCUGGUGAGGGUUCUGGCUCGGGUUCUAGAGUCAGGAAGUUGGAUGAUCAGACGCAGGAGUUCAUUUCGUUUGAGAGUACCCGCAUCAUACUUGGGCAGACUCCUGUGAUCUUUGGUACAAUCAAGGAGGAUAUUCUAAAGAUUUUGGAUGAGAGUUUAAGUGCUUUUCGGUUUGAGAUGGUGGCAUUAAUGGGAGCUCGCACGUUAACCUUCAGGGAGUUCCGAGCAUGUGGGGCUCGGGGUACUUCAGGGAGAAGGACCUGAUCGUAAGCAGGUGAUGGUUAGCGGAUUUCGCUAACACCUUCCGCACUAGUAUUUGUCCCGAUAGGGCAAAGGUCAGACUUGCUUCCUGUCUUCGGAAAUACAUAGCUCGAGAUUGGUAGGAGGAGGUUGGGCGCUCCGUGGGUGAUGAGGCGGUUGAUUUGAUAACAUGGAAUGAUUUUGUGACCAGAUUUCGAGCUGAGAUUGCAUUGGUGAUCGCAGUGCAACAGUUGGCGAGGGAGUUCUAGGACCUUCUGUAAUGCCCUGUUUCGAAUUGAUUCCUAAUUCGAGGCUGUGGCCCAAAGAUCGGUCAUCAUAAGGAUUAGGGUCUUUGAAAAUGUGAGAUCUAGGUCCAUUUGAGUGCGAGUGAUGUAUUUGAAGUCAUCCGGGUGUUCGGUUCGUGUUUUGGAGCCUAUAUGUAUUUCGAUAAAGUGUUAGUUCGGGCUUUUGUGGAAAAUUGGAUUUUUGUUCGGAAGGUCUUAAGGAUGGUAUGAGUUGAUAGAAUUAUAGGGCUUCUCGUUACCUUUCUGUGGAUAUAAGGAUCGUCGAAAACGGGAUUAUAACGAAGAAGUUAUGGCCUUCGAAAGUUUGGUGGUUUUAAGGUUUAGCCGGGUACGCGGGGCGUACUAGUAAAGAGAGUAGUACGCGGGGCGUACCUCGGUGUAUGUUGGGCGUACUGACCAGGAUGGUCACGGGUGCUCUUCGGAGUAUGUUGGACGUACUCCAAUCAGACCCAAACCCUAUUUUAGGGUCUUGGACCCUAUUUAAGCUCAUUAUCUCAUAACCUAACACUAAUAUCUUCAUCCUCCAUCCCUCUAAGCCCUAGAAAUCAACCCUUAGCCCCCAUUUGGGUGAUUUUAGAGCUUCAAAGUGAUUUAUGUAUGUUUUGGUGCUUGAGGAGGAAGAAAGAACUUCUUGAAGAGUCAUUGUUUAACUUGGAGCUUUUGGAUCCAGACUUUGUGCACCUAGAUCUAACUUCUGGAGGUAUAUUAUGUCUCAACCUUGGCAACUCUUUCUUGUAGAUCUAGCAAGGUGGCACUUUGUUAUAAUUUUAGCCCCUUUGUGGUGGUUCUUGUGAGUUGUUUGGCAUUUGUUGGGGUUAUGGAAUCAUAAAGUUUGGAUCUUGAUGAGUAAUGCAUGAUUUGAUAGUCUUUUGGUGAAGCUUAGGACUUAGGGUUUUGAUUUUGGAUUAUUUUUCUCUCUAUUUUUAAGAUUAUUAUUGUUGUUUAAAUUCUGUAUUAUACGAUUAUGCACUUAGUAUAUUUUUUGAGCUUUGAGAUCCCAUCUUAACAAAAGAUUACGUAGGGAACGCAAAUAACUCGGGUGGAAAAUGGUUCUCGCCAACAAGUAUCAAGGUUUGUUAUGUAGGGACGUUAACUCUUUUAUAAAUAUUCCUUGCAAAGAAUAAUAUAUAAUCCUAAAAGUUUAAAUUAUGUCAGCCUUAGUGUACACGCAUGUUCUCGAAUAUAUUUUUCAGGAGAUUGUUAGUAAUUUUCUUAAAAUUCAUAAAAGUGUGAUCGUAUUGUAAUAUAAAAACUCUCAAAUUUUGUUGGUUCAGUGUAUGCAGUGAUUUUUUUUUGUUUUAUGAGCUUCAUUUUUGCUCUUGUUACAUGUAAUAACAAGUUUUAUAUUUACCAAUAAAUCAAAUUUGGAAACAAAAAAAAUAAAAUAAAAUAAAAACAGCAACCUUAAAUAUACACAAUAUUUUACGUUUUAACCGGAAAUAAAUUUUUUUUUAUAUUAUACGUAUUUAUGUAAAAAAAACAUAUUUAUAUAUGAAUUUUUUUAACUAAAUAUCCAAUAAAUACAUAUUUUUAGAAGUAUUAACAUAUAUUUUUUAGAAUUGUGUAUAUGUAUUUUUACAUAUCUGGGAGUAAGUCAUUCAAAAAUAUGUUUUAUAUGAAAGAAAAAAAAAAGUAGUUAUACUUCUUAAAAAUAUAAUAAUACGUACAUUUUUGAAAAAUAUAAAUGCCAAUUUUUAUGUAUUUUUGUUAUUAGUUUAUUUUUUUAAAAAGUGACAGNNNNNNNNNNNNNNNNNNNNNNNNNNNNNNNNNNNNNNNNNNNNNNNNNNNNNNNNNNNNNNNNNNNNNNNNNNNNNNNNNNNNNNNNNNNNNNNNNNNNNNNNNNNNNNNNNNNNNNNNNNNNNNNNNNNNNNNNNNNNNNNNNNNNNNNNNNNNNNNNNNNNNNNNNNNNNNNNNNNNNNNNNNNNNNNNNNNNNNNNNNNNNNNNNNNNNNNNNNNNNNNNNNNNNNNNNNNNNNNNNNNNNNNNNNNNNNNNNNNNNNNNNNNNNNNNNNNNNNNNNNUAUAUAUGACAAUGUAACCAUAGAGAGUGUGUCAUCAAAUAGAGGAUAAGAACAAAAGCUAACAAAUUUAUUAGCCAUCACUACUACACCAGCUUCUGCGACGCUCUUAUGUUCACAAUAAAUCAUGAUGGUUGUACAAUAAUUUAAGAUAGUUCGUUGUCCAAGCGAUGUUCGCAAUAAGUUUCAAAGUGACAAAUUCAAGAACAUACUCAUAAAAAUUGUUUUUCACGCUCGUUUUUAAAUACAUUGAUUACAACGAUCUUCAAGAACGCCAAGAGUUAAGGAUGUGCUAUCUUGAAAAUUGAAAUCAGUGUUGGAAAUUAAGAUAAAAGGUAAUGAAAUAAAAUCAGAUACAGAUUUGACAUAUGCGAGGGCGACAUAGAAAAGUAAAAGCAUGAAUGAAUAGUAUUUUUUAAAUAAAGAAAGAAGCUGGGAAUAUGUUUUAUGAGGGUAUCAUUUCGAAGCAUAUUUUGAAAACACAGGUUAUUUCGGGACAGCAUCUCAAAAUUCCCCAAAACUUUAUGCCCAAACGUUGCCAAAAACAAUUGAACAUUAACACAGGAAAACAGAUUUCGUUGACACAUGUGGGGCCUAGAUUACUCUAACUAACAAAAUCUUUUUUUUUAAUUAACCUAAUUAUAUAAGAGUGUAAACACUAAACAACUCGAUUUUGUAAAGUUAGUUAGAACCACGAGCAUUCUUGACAAUGUGUACACAGUCACGACAAAACAACCACAAAGUUCAAAAAGGACAAAACCAAAUUAAACCAAACAAUGCUUAAGAAAAAGAAAAAACUCGAAACAUCUUCCAUGAUAAACAUUUUUCAGGUACUAACAUAACUAGUCUCCGAAGUAGUAGUAGACCCGCGUUGUAACUGAUGUAAAACACUCGUUGGAGACGAAGUAUUAGACGUUGAAGAUGAUCUUAACGCUUCAGCAAGAGGCCCACCCAAUGAACCUGCAUGGUGUGUACCCCAUUGCAUGCCCCAACUCAACGAAGCACGCUCUCGUUCCCCAUUAAUUUCCUCUCCACGUGGCCCUGUUUCAUCGUUUCCAGUUGACAGUUUCAAAGAGAAAUCCGAAGUUGCAUCUCCAGUGACUGAAAUGGAAAGACUCGUAGCUAGCGUUUCUUGUUCUUGAACAGUUCGUGGCCAAUCAUUAAAAAAUGGACGAAGAAUUCGUCCACCUGAUAAUUUGUCUUCGUUUUCAGAUGAUCGAUAUGCAGCUUUGUCGUCAACCCUAUUAAAAAAAAUGAUUAUAUUUAACUUUUCAUCAUUUGAAACCAAAAGAAAAAAGUUAUUUUGUGUUGUGUUUGAGUGUUGAGUGUUGAAAGUGGAGAUGUGAAGUUACAGAUGGGAAAAUAGUAGUAGCGUGGGUACAGUGUCAAUAUGAGUGGUUGGGGUGAGUCUAGCACCAGAUCGAAGCUAGAUUCCAAACAGCUUUUUUCCCAAACACUCUAACGUUGGACCCACGGUUUUUGUCUACAUCUACAAGUGGGGUCCCACCAAGGACUCAAAAAUCCACCAUUGUUUCAGACAUAUCUUUGACAAAUCUUUUUAUUUCAAUGCGCUGCUACUUCCAAAACCCUUUUAUCAUCAACAUUUUAAAUAGAAAUACGAAUAAUUCCAAAACAACCAACAGGAACUUUCACUGUAUAACUUAAGGACCAUUUUAUGCAUUUCAAGGUAAAAAAAAAAAAAAGUCAAAAUUUAGGGUUUUAUAAUUUAAUUACCUUUGAUUGAGAUGAAGCUGAUCAAAAAAAGGAGAAUGCCCGGAGACACUACCACCACAAUUAGUAGAUCCUGUGUACGUCUGAGCCCCACCGUAACCGGCGGCGGCGGCGGUGGUGGUAUAGACGGAUGUUGGUUUUUUAACAAGUCCAACGCCAUAAUCAACAUCACCGCCACGACUGCCGGCCGUUGCGGUGGAAGUGGUGGGUGUGGGGAUUUCCACAGGCUUUCUUGAACGAUUGCGGCCACGGUGGAUGUGGCGCUCACAGUACUUGUGACCGGCCACCACAUCUCUUGAACACCUCCAUUUUUUUCCGUCGGUUCUUCUACAUCUUCCUGGCUCUGGAUCCAUUCCUCCUCUUCCCCAAUAUCCUCCUCCUGUUUGGCACACUGAUGCAUACAAUGAAAUAAUUAAAACCCAUGUGAGAUUAUGAAAAUACAUUUUGGGGUUGGACAUAUAUUAUUUAGAGUGACUUACAAGAUGGGAAGUUGGAGAGAGGAUAAAAAGGAGGGUUGGUGUUGGAGGUGGAGUUGAGUAAAAGGUGUAAAAGUUGAGGAGGAAUUGGUGAACCGGUAAGCAUGUAUCUGUAUAUCAAUGCCUGUACUUCAAGCUCCUGCCAUUGCCCUACGCUGAAGUAACCACUUACACCCUGCAUCAUCUCUUCUUCAACACACAAAAUAAUAAGUACUUACCAAAAGAGAAAAAUCCAAACUUUAAAGCAACCAACAUGGAGAGAGAGAGAGAGAGAGAGUUACUUGAGGGUUUGGAUGAUGAUGAUGAAGAGGUGGGUUCAGAAGAAAAAAGAGGAAGAGCAAGCGAUGCAGAAGAAUCAUCAGGUUGGUGUUGAUUCUGGUGUGCCCAUUGCUUAAGAUGGAAGUCCAUCGAAGGGCUGGGGAGACAGAUGAGAUAUUUGUUCAAAGUUGAACUGAGAAAGAGAUUGAGACAGACAGUGAGAUAUAUAGCUGCUUCUUCUGCUGCUUCUUUGGAAUAUGUAUGGGUGAGCAGGUUCUUGUUAUUUCAAGUAUAUAUAUAUAUAUAUAUAUAUNNNNNNNNNNNNNNNNNNNNNNNNNNNNNNNNNNNNNNNNNNNNNNNNNNNNNNNNNNNNNNNUAUAUAUAUAUAUAUAUAUAAAGCCUUUUUUUAAUAAAAAUAAGGCCAGUGGACUCUGCAGCGGUGCUGUGUGGGGGGAUGUGUGAGUUCGGAAGUCAUCCAGUUGAUAGAAGCGAAGGGCACUCGAAUAAAGAUAUUAAGACAUAAGACAUGACAGUUGAAGACUUUUAAUACAAAAAUGUAAAAAUGGUGUGUGGUACGUUUUUUUUUUUUUCGAAAAAUAUUUAAAUCAUUAAAGUUUUGUAUGAAUAGUGUUUUUGAGAAAGUUUGUGAUUUUGGUUGGAUUGAAAAACGAAAAAAUUAAUGUCUUUCUAAUAAAAAUUAGUUGUAAGAUCCAUGUAUUACAUGGGUUAAUUUAAAAGAAAAUAUAAAAAUCAAAAUAUUUGAAAACUUUGAUUUUAUAAGGUAACUAGGUAAACGGGUUGAUUAUAAAAAAUAUUUAAUCUAGAUACAUAGGUUGAUUAUGAAAAAAUAUUUAAUCUAGGUAAUAACAUGUGGAUCAUACGGAUUGAAUAUAAAAAAUAUUUAAUUGGAAUAAGUGAAAAAUAAAGCACAAUUCAAGUAUAACUCUACUAUUCAUUGAUAUGGGGAAACAAAUUUUUUUAAGUUUAAGAUCCAAAAUAUAAUCAAAAGCUUUCUAGGGACGUAAACUUGAUGGUUUACUCUCAAGAUAUUUUGAUAAUUGGUCAAGAGAAACCACUUUGAUGGUUUCAUCUUCUUCAACAAUACGAUUCAUCAAAAUUACCAGGUUGAUUAAUAGAAAUAUAAAAUAAAGACUAAACAUUAAGGAUUUUUAAAAUGAUAUUUUCCAGAUUGUUCAGUUGCAACUUUGGUUGAACUUGCAUUUGGGUUAUAUGUACAUUGUUCGUGGUACCUAUUUUUGUCAACCUCACCAAAAUCCAGAAGAUUCCCGAAAUAAUUCAAGAAAAUGUAAGAUGAAAAAAUAUUAAAAAACAGUAUUAGUCAAAAUAAUGUACAAAAUAAAGUUUGCUGAAAACAUUGUUUCAGGGAAAAAUAAAGUUUCAACAUCUAAGUCAGAUCGUGGAAUUUGACUUUGACCGUUUUCGAACAUGGGGCUGUCCGAAGAUAGGUUUUGUUCUACCAUAAAAACUGACUGCAGCUUCUUUUGUGCUUUUGAGUAAUUUAAAGAUAACCUCACAUUUUGUUCGGGUGCACCUUUUUUGGAUUCUUAAUCACCUGAAGGUAAUUUGUAUGGUUUUGUAGCUAUGUAUUUUUCAAAGAAUUGUGUGUACCGUGAUUCUGGACAUCUUUGUGACAUGUCAUCUUCACAUGUGUUAUAUCUCGAUCUAGUACCAAAACUUGUUUUUGGUUGAACCUGUAAAACAUAAAAAUGAACUUAGGAUUGGACCUAUCUUCCAUUUUAGUACCAUAACAACUUACAUAGAUAAAGCAGUGAAUGUCAACCAAGAAACCCUUACACAAUGACGCCGUAGAGGUGACUCCCUUUUGACAAAACUAUAAGAGAAGAAUGAACAAAGAAUCAGCAUAUGUCCAUUAUUAGUCAAACUUAUAACAUUUUGUUCUUGACAGAACUGUAAGAGAAUAAAUCAAUGAAAAAUAUAUGUAUUUAGCAAAUGAAAAAAUAACAUAUUAGAAAAGAAAAGAUUAAAUACAUGGACAAAGUGUCAUCAUUACUUUCUCCUUCUUACACACAUGUUCUCUCUUAGCACCUGUUAUCAAGAACAAAGUUGUCAAGGAACCUUUUCAAUUUAAACUAAAAACUUAGGACCAAAAUACUCAUGCAUCCUUAAAGUAAAAAUGCAAUUGACGUCAUCUUCUAAACAUCCGAAAAUAACAUUCUUGCUUUUAUUAUAGCAGUACCCAUUAACAAACAUGGAUAAAAAAAACAUAAAUUAAAUCUAUAAAUCUUCCAGAUAAGAAUAUGACCAAAAUACCAUUUCACCCUUGUCAAACAUUAUUUACUAUGUACCUUUUGCAUCAAGUUUUUGUGCUCUUUUACAAAUGAAAAACUGAAACAACCACAUUAGUAUGGUUCUAGCUGGCUACAUAUGCACUUAAAAUAGCAAAAUUAAUACAUCUGUCCCCGUUGCAGAUAUAAUUGAGUUUCCCAUAACACUGUUUAUGUUUAACCGUUAGCUAAAAUGGUGACAUGUAAAUAGUUGGCUUUUGAGGACAAACAUAUAUGAUUUAUGAGCUUUAUUAUUGGUGUGAUCUUCAAGUAUUGGUAUUAAGAUGAUUAUUAAGCAUAUUAUUAAACUUUAAGUUAGGCAAUACCAAUACAAAAAGACUUAAUAUUAUUAAUUUAUUAGAUAUAUCUUCUUAAUUAAAAAUUUAAAUUCAAAAACUUUGAACUGAAAAAGUCAAAAGGACAUAUAUUACUUUAAUUAUUUAGCUUGAAACUUUGGUACAGACCUGUAAAAUUAUUAAAGGAUAAGUCUUGUAAAAGGAAGGGUUUUUUCAAUAAUUUCAACCGAAAGAAAAAGAUAGUUAGGUAAAUGAAACUGAAAAGACUUGGGCUUUGACUUGCAUUACAAUUCUAUUCAACAAAAAUGAAUUUCUGGUAACUUAAGAUCCACGAUUCCAUCAACGAACAAACACCAAGAAAUAUUAAGAUCAUGAUGCUUAAUUACAGACGAAUCAUAUACAACUAAAAUUAAGGCUUUAAUAACAGAGAUGGAGAUGGAGAAGAGUACUUGGUAGUUCAAAAGCAGGCAUUCUUAUGUGAAGUUAUUGUUCAUCAUACACCUGAAUAUCCAUUAGAUCAUCAAACCAUAGUAAGCACCAAAUGAAUGACACAUAAUAUGAAAAGCAUAACAAAAGGAAUACAUUCAAUCUUAAAUCAGCAAAGGGAAAAAAUCAUUAAUAAAAGGAUAAAAAUAUAUCAGAGAUGAAAAAUGGAAACAGAUUCUUCUAGUGAAAAAGGCAGAUUUUGAUUCAGAAUCACAAACCUUAAAAAAUCGUAAACCCACGAUUACAUCAUUAGCAUAAAGUCAAAAAACAAAUUCAUAAUCAUCUCACCUUAGUAACUUCGGGUUCGCUUGAGGCAAUGAAGACAAACCUAUAUUAAGACAAACCUUGAAGAUGGUGACCGAUAAGAGCGGCGAUUUAGGGUAAGGUGGAUGGUGGGUGGCGAUGGUGAGCACGGUGACGCGAGGAUGGUGUAAUGUUAUCAUCCACAUUGACGUUGUAAUGAAAGAAGUUGGGGCUCCUUGAAACAAUAAAGAAGAUGUGAAAAUUACAUCAAAAUACAAAGUCCUUAGCAGAUUAUUCAUCAAUGAAAUAAUUAUUUUUUUGGAUGGUUAACUAUCUUCAUCAAAAACACUAACUUCAACAGAGAGAGAAUAUUACUGUGUAUCAUAAUAAGUUAAGAGAGAGAUAUGAAGGAGGAAGAGCAAUGACAGUGAGGCAAAGCGGAGAUGGUGUUGGUGGUAAAGAAGAAGGCAAACGACACUGGUAUUAAUGGAGGAGAAGAAGGGCAGUAAUGAUGUAGUAGAGGUGUCAAUGAGAUGAGAUAUUUAUCUUUUGAAUUUCAAAUUGAGAGAUUUGAUUUGAUUUCCAAAGAAAAAUGCUAACUUUUAGGAGAUACAGAUGUGAUUAAGGGAUGACCAAAGAUGAGCGGGAAAACAAAAAAGAAGUUUACAUAAAGAUGACACGUGGAAAGUAGAGUGAUAGAAAAGUGUCAUGUGGCGUUUUUAGGAGGCUUUUAUUAGAGAGUAGAAAAGAAAAAUAAUGAAUUAUUAUAAUAGAAAUGUUUUUUAUCUUUUAAAUUUAAAAAAAUAAAUAAAUAAAGAAAAAAAACUAAUUAGCUUUAAUUUUAGAAAUUUUAAAAUUAAAAGAUAAGUUUAUUAAUGAAAUUGAUAUCCAUUUAUUACAACAUUUAUAGCAAUUGUUAUAUUAAAUAUUAUGUGGAAUUUAAUAAAAUAGAAAAAAACUCACAAAAUAACAUGUGAAAAAAAAUUUAAUGAAAAAUAACCACAAAGUGACAUUUGGCAAAUUGAAUGAGAGUGUGACAAGUGGCAAAAAAACCUUCAUUUAUUAGAGAAGAUUUUGUGUUAUUUUUAGUUAAUUUAAAGUUUUAUAAAUAAUAAAUACUAGGUGUAAGACUCAUGUAUUAUAUGGAUUCAUUUUAAAAAAAAUAGUAUUGAAUUGUUAACAUUCGAGAAAUUUGAAUUUAUAAGAAAAAUUAGAAAAAUAUCGAAUUAUUAAAUUAAAGUGUUUUUCCUUUCUCAAAUUUACAUAAUAAUUUAUAUAAAUAAACAUAGGAAACUAAUCUGAGUUUAAUUUAGAAAUUUUUGAAAUUAGAAGAAAUAUUAAUGAUUGAUAUUGAUAUAUAUUUAUUAUUAUAUUUAUUGCAACUAUUACAUUUAAAAUUAUGUGGAAUCUAAUAAAAUUGAAAAAACCACAAAAUGUUAUGUGAAAAAAUUUUAAUUGAAAAUAACCACAAAAUGACAUGUUAUCAAAUCAAUGAGAGUGACAUGUUGCAAAAAGAUUUUCAUUUAUUAGAGUAGAUGAUGUCGCCUCUCUCUCACACACAUUCUAUCAACGCUCCAAUAAUAAUUAAUAAAACUAUACCACUACCAUCAAAGAGCAAUAUCAUCAAAGACAUCAUAUUUCGAUCAAAGAAUCACAAUUUCGUUUCAAAAUAUGACCACCAAGUUUUGAUGAUGAUCAACCCAAAUUAAUCCACCGCCACUGAAAUUCCAUUACCCCAAAUCGAAAUCAAGUAUAAAUCGAAACAUUGAUGAUACAGUUUAGUGCGUCCAUUGAAAGUAAAAAACAAAGUAUUAACCAAGUCGAAUUUUUGAUUAAUUAUUUGAUCAAAUCAAAAGAAUCUCAUCGUCACCAUGGCCAUAGAAUCUCAUAGGAGGACAUAUUCAACAGGGAUAGCAUGGGUAUGACCAUCGAAACAUCACCAUGAGAGAGAGAGAGAGAGAGAGAGAGAGAGUGAGUGAGUGAGUGAGAUAAUGAAGUGGGUAUAUUCGUGAUUGAUGGAAGAGUGAACUCGAUAUCGAUGGUGAUAUAGAUCUGUUAUUAUUUUGUUUGAUGAUAUCGAUGAAGAACUGUGUGGCUGCCUUAAGUCAGAAUUUUGGUCUAUUGUUACCGAAGUUGAUGGAAUAACUGUUUUGAUUCAAUGAGUUGCUGUUAGUUGAAGUCGGUGUUUUGUAUUGUUCCAAAAACUUUAAAUAUCCAAUAUCUAUUCAAUAAAGCUAAAACCUGAUGCUUUGAGAAGCUCCAAUAAUUAAUCAAUGUUUGCUUCAGAAUUAUUUUAUUCUCUCUAUGAACAGUGGGGGAUGAACACCCACAUACAAAUCAAGUUAUAGGGGGUGAACACCCACACAUUAUGAUAACCAAGAAAACACGUCAUCAAAUGCCGUUAGAACUUAACGACAAACACGAAAAUGUUAUAGGACAACCAUGUAACCAUUCGACAUAUAUUAGUAAUGUAUUCGAUUUUGUCUUUAAUUACGUCAACAUCUAGGCUCAAGAAUUUUUGUUCGAAGAAUUGUGUCACCUUAAAAUCAGUUUUACAUUUUUAGAAUAUAUGUGUUACCACGAUUCCAAAAUUAUAAAUUUCAUAAAAAUCCAACUAAGUAUGAAAGAUAUAUGAUUUUUAUAGUAAAUAAAAAUCACUGCAUGUAAGAAAUUACGUCAAAAGCUAUAUGGAAAACGGUUGGCCUUUGGAAAAAGUCACCAAAAGGAGAAACGUAGUAUUACUCAAAGUAAGAAUUUUAAGACAAAAAACGUCUGAAAUGGAACCUGUAUGAGAGAGUUAUAAUUUUUAUAAAAUCAUAACGGUUAUAAAAUGUAGUAAAAAAAGAAAGUUAAAACUAGUCAAACGACCAAAAGGAAAGUUAUAGAGUACGUCUAGACCUACACAAAUAUAUAGAGUAGUUGAAAAUGGAGUUCAUAUGUGAGAGUUAUAGAAUUUCAAAAUUCAAUUUUCAUCGUCACACGCACCUAUGCGCAGUGCAUCGUGCACACCUAACACUCAAUCCGUUGGAAUACAGGGUGACAUAGCAUAAGGAGAGGAUGACAUGUAGCCGCUCUACGUGGAUCAUGCACAAUCUUGCGGCGCACAUUGGGCGACAUGCCACAAAAAUUGGCUAUAAAUAGCAGGCUUUGGCAUACAUCUUGUCACACUCUCAAAACGCUCUCUCAAACUCUCUCAAUUUGUGUGUCAUUGCCUCGAUCGUCUCUCGAAGUUUCGGACUCUGGAUUUUCUACCCUACAAAAGUGGUUUCUCAUUUCACAGUUGAGUCCACGACCCCAUUUUCCAAACCUUUUCAGGGGGAAUACAUGUUAAAAUACAAAUAUUCCAUAAUUAUUACUAAUUGUAUAAUGUUAGUUAGAUAAUUAUCCUCAUGACAUUAUGAUGAUAUUAUACCUAAUAGAUACUAUGCCAAACUUUUAAGGAUAAUAUUAUGCAUAGUUAUACUGACCCACAGUGAUAGAAAAUGCCAUAACUAGUUGUUAUGUUUGCUAGUUGCAAGGAAACAUCAGUACUCUAGUCAUUAUUAUAGUCAACCUUUGGCUAAGCUUAGUACCUACCGGUUACUCUGCCCAAAUACCCGGUUACGCAAAAAACGUUAACUUGAUUAUAUAUAUAUAUAUAUAUAUAUCCAUAUCUUCUAAAAUCGUCAGUAAAAGUCACGAAGUAUCUUUCUCNNNNNNNNNNNNNNNNNNNNNNNNNNNNNNNNNNNNNNNNNNNNNNNNNNNNNNNNNNNNNNNNNNNNNNNNNNNNNNNUGAUAUUUGCAUAUUUAGCCUCAUAAUAAGUAUAGAUUUUUAUCAUUUAUUAGCUAAUUUAUUGCAUAUCAUGGACAAAAGAUACUUAAAAGUGUUUGAAUUGUGUUUUCAGUCCAAAAGCGAAGCUCGGAAGCAAAAGGAAGCAGGAGAAGCGGUUGGGAGCUCGGGAGUUGAACAAAGAAGAAAAAGGCUAAAAAUACAAGGUACUCGGCGAGUAGGGUCGACUACUCGACGAGUAGCAUCAAAGAUUCAAGAGGAUAAAGACUUCGUAACUUACCGUGUACGAGAAUUAAGGGAUGGACUCGACGAGUUGGUCUUGGACUCGGCGAGUAAGUUCGAAUCUAUAAAAACAGUUGUCCAGAUCGACACAAGGUAUUCUGGAACCUUUUUGGAGAGAAGAGCUGCGAUUGGAGAGUCAAAAGAACCCUAGAGAUCGAAGAUACAACCUAGAAUUCAAUUCCGAAGGAGAUUUGAGGCAAGUUCUCAUCAUUCUACUUAAUCUAUUGUUUUCAAUCAUGGUUAGACAAUUAGAAUUCGUUUUAUUGCUGUUAAUUACCGUAGUCAUGAGCUAAAACUCUUAAACUUCUGUUUGGGGAUACAAUAUUGAAACUAUGGUUUGAUUUAUGGUAGGAUUAAUUCAAUAUUGGUGAUUUUGUUGAUUUUAGCUUGUUAAAGAACUUUGUGUGUAAAUGAUAACUAUUUUUCUGUUAAUAGGAAGAUAAUUAAAUAGUAUGAACAUCCUUUAAUUGUCAACCUCAUAUGUUUAUGUGACCACUUUAUCAUAUGUCUAGGAUUAAUGAACUUGAAACUAGAAUUAAUAGAAAAUUAGGCAAAUUCAUGUGUGAGCUUGUGUGAUGACCAUCAACAAGAGGUUAACUAAAUGACCAAAUUAGUUAGCUAUUACAAGUCUAAAUUAACCCGAAUAAAUAAUCUAGUGAAUUAAAUUAAAUUAGAAAACUGACCACUAUUUGAGUUAGUUUGUUCUCUAAGGAUUAGUGCAGCGAACGUGAAUCUAAUCACUUGAAUCGGUAGCCAAUAGAAGAAUUAAUCCAUUGCACUAUUACCAUACUAUCAACCAUAGGAUCAAUUGAGUUGAGCUAAACAAAAGUUCCUUUCGUUAUUGAAUUUAGUUAAAUCUUUUCUUUUCUAGUUUUUAGUCUAAGUAAUAUUAGUAAGUUUCUAGUCUUGUAAAACUAGAGAAAACCCCUAUUUAUUAUUUAAUUUAGAUAAAAUUAGUCUUUAGUUUUAAUUUACCAUUCGCUGUGUUCGAUACCCUACUUAUUUAGUUUUACCACAAUUGAUAGGUCCGCUGCCUUUGUGUGUUCAUUUUAUAAUUAUAAGUAGGUUUAAAACUAGUUGAGUUUACACACAUCAAUAUGUGUGUGUGUGCGUGUGUGUGUGCAUGUGUGUAUAAGAUGAUAUACAUAAUAAGUAUAUAUAAUAAAAUACAACAAGAAAAGUGUCACACCCCCAAACCGGAACGGCGGAAUCGUUCGGGGGCGGAGGACAUCAUAUUCAGUAUCAUAACAGUUCAUAGAAAGGAAAGUACACACCACCAUAAUAUAAAUAUGUUUGAAAAGUUUACAUGAUUGUAGGUGUUACAUGUUUGCAAAAGAAAUCAAAUAUAAAAUGGUGAUCCAAAAUAUGUUACUAACGCCAAUGCGUUAGUCUUCAGAAGUAGUUGCUACCUGGCUAGCGGUUUCCUGUGAAUACAAGUUAUUUCAAAGAAAAAGUGUCAACAUUUAAGUUGGUGAGUUCAUAAGUAGUGUUUUGAGAAGAUGUAUGCCAUUCGAAAGUGUUUGCAUGUUUUCCAGAAAAACCCUUAUUUUCUUAUUAAAGUAUGCAAUGCAUAUGAAUGUUCGUGAUGUAAAUUGCAACUAAUUGUACCAAGAAAAUCCCUUAUUUUCCUAUUAGUUGUUUGGUUUGUAUACAGGAAAAACCCUUAUUUCCCUGACAUAGCUGGCAGUCUCUAAGACCGAAAAUCGCAAGCAAUCGACGUGCUCGAAAGGUGUGGCAUAGUUUUACAUAGUAAAGCUAUACGAAGAUCGCACUUAUUAGAUGAAGAAUAGUUUUAAUGACUACUCGUUCAUAAAAGCAUAAUACCAUAAUAAUUGUAUAUCCGAUGAGUUUUAUAACCGUACUAAACAUAAUAUGCCUGUAGCGACGUUCUUCAGGCGUCGUAGCGUUAUGACAACUGUCACCCCAAAAGACGGACUGUAGCUAACAGUCAGGGCGCGGGAUCAUGACUUCCCGUAUAGAUCUAUACACAUUUGACACGUUCUCCGAACGGGAGACUCUGGUUAUAGACAGGACUUGUAGCAUUAUUUUCUAAUAAAGAAAGUAACGUUUGAAGAUAUACACGACUCAUGGAUUCUCAACUAAGUCCGUAAU
rnacentral:lncRNA from 1 species